AAUAAGUGUGUUGUGGUGCUGAGAAGAAUGUGUAUUCUGUUGGUUUGGGGUGGAGAGUUCCAUAGAUGUCUAUUAGGUCUGCUUGGUGCAGAGCUGAGUCCAGGUCCUGGAUAUCCUUGUUAACUUUCUGUGUCGUUGAUCUGUCUAAUAUUGACAGUUGGGUGUUAAAGUCUCCCAUUAUUAUUGUGUGGGAGUCUAAGUCUCUUUGUAGGUCUCUAAGGACUUGCUUUAUGAAUCUGGGUGCUCUUAUAUUGGGUGCAUAUAUAUUUAGGAUUGUUAGCUCUUCUUGUUGAAUUGAUCCCUUUACCAUUAUGUAAUGGCCUUCUUUGUCUCUUUUGAUCUUCACUGGCUUAAAGUCUGUUUUAUCAGAGACUAGGAUUGCAACCCCUCCUUUUUUUUUUUUUUUUUUUUUUGCUUUCUAGUUGCUUCAUAGAUCUUCCUACAUCCCUUUAUUUUGAACCUAUGUGUGUCUUUGCACGUGAGAUGGGUCUCCUGAAUACAGCACACUGAUGGGUCUUGACUCUUUAUCCAGUUUGCCAGUCUGUGUCUUUUAAUUGGGGCAUUUAGCUCAUUUACACUUAAGGUUAAUAUUGUUAUGUAUGAAUUUGAUCCUGUCAUUAUGAUGUUUGCUGGUUAUUUUGCCCAUUAAUUGAUGCAGUUUCUUCAUAGCAUUGAUGGUGUUUACAAUUUGGCAUGCUUUUGCUGUGGCUGGUACCAGUUGUUUCUUUCCAUGUUUAGUGCUUCCUUCAAAGCUCUUGUGAGGCAGGCCUGGUGGUGACAAAAUUUCUCAGCAUUUUCUUGUCUGUAAAAGAUUUUAUUUCUCCUUCACUUAUGAAGCUUAGUUUGGCUGGAUAUGAAAUUCUGGGUUGAAUAUUCUUUUCUUUAAAAAUGUUCGAUAUUGGCCCCCACUCUAUUCUGGAUAGAGAAACUAGGGUUUCUGCCGAGAGAUCUGCUGUUAGUCUGAUGGGCUUCCCUUUGCGGGUAACCCGACCUUUCUCUCUGGCUGCCCUUAACACUUUUUUCUUCAUUUGAACCUUGGUGAAUCUGACAAUUAUGUGUCUUGGGGUUGCUCUUCUCAAGGAGUAUCUUUGUGGUGUUCUCUGUAUUUCCUGAAUUUGAAUGUUGGCCUGCCUUGCUAGGUUGGGGAAGUUCUCUUGGAUAACAUCCUGAAGAGUGUUUUCCAGCUUGGUUCCAUUCUCCCCAUCACUUUCAAGUACACCAAUCAAAUGUAGAUUUGGUCUUUUCACAUAGUCCCAUAUUCCUUGGAGGCUUUGAUCAUUUCUUUUUAUUCUCUUUUCUCUAAACUUCUCUUCUCACUUUAUUUCAUUAAUUUGAUCUUCAAUCACUGACAUCUUUUCUUCCACUUGAUCAAAUUGGCUAUUGAAGCUUAUACAUGCAUCACAAAGUUCUCGUGCCAUGUUUUUCAGCUCCAUCAGGUCAUUUAAGGUCUUCUCUACACUGUUUAUUCUAGUUAGCCAUUCAUCUAAUCUUUUUUCUUUUUUCCAAGGUUUUUAGCUUCCUUGCAAUGGGUUCUAACAUCCUCCUUUAGCUUGGAGAAGUUUGUUAUUACCGACCUUCUGAAGCCUACAUCUGUCAACUUGUCAAAGUCAUUCUCUGUCUAGCUUUGUUCCAUUGCUGGCGAGGAGCUGUGAUCCUUUGGAGGACAAGAGGUGCUCUGGUUUUUAGAAUUUUCAGCUUUUCUGCUCUGGUUUCUUCCCAUCUUUGUGGUUUUAUCUACCUUUGGUCUUUGAUGUUGGUGACCUAGAGAUGGGGUUUUGGUGUAGAUUACCUUUUUGUUGAUGUUGAUGCUAUUCCUUUCUGUUUGUUAGUUUUCCUUCUGUCAGGACCCUCAGUUGCAGGUCUGUUGGAGUUUGCUGGAGGUCUACUCCAGACCCUGUUUGCCUGGGUAUCACCAGCGGAGGCUGCAGGACAGCAAAUAUUGCAGAACAGCAAAUUUGAUUUAAAUUGCUGCCUGAUCCUUCCUCUGGAAGCUUCGUCCCAGAGGGGCAGCCACCUAUAUGAGGUGUCUGUUGGCCCCUACUGGGAGGUGUCUCCCAGUUAGGCUACACAGGGGUCAGGGAUGCACUUGAGGAGGCAGUCUGUCCAUUUUCAGAGCUCAAACACCGUGCUGAAAGAACCACUGCUUUCUUCAGAGCUGUCAGACAGGGAAGUUUAAGUCUGCAGAAGUUGUCUGCUGCCUUUUGUUCAGCUAUGCCCUGCCCACAGAGGUGGAGUCUAGAGGCAGUAGGUCUUGUUGAGCUGUGGUGGGCUCUGCCCAAUUCAAGCUUCCCGGCCACUUUGUUUACCUACUCAAGCCUCAGCAAUGGUGGACACCCCUCCCCCAGCCAGGCUGCUGCCUUGCAGAUUGAUCUCAGACUGCUGCGCUAGCAGUGAGCAAGGCUCUGUGGGUGUGGGACCCACUGAGCCAGGCACAGGAGAGAAUCACCUUGUCUGCUGGUUGCUAAGACCUUGGGAAAAGUGCAGUAUUUGGGUGGGGAGUGUCCCGUUUUUCCAGGUGGUCUGUCACAGCUUCCCUUGGCUAGGAAAGGGAAAUACUCCAACCCCUUGCACUUCCCAGGUGAGGCAACACCCCCCUCACUCCCCGCUUCAGCUUGCCCUCCAUGGGCUGCACCCACUGUCCAACCAGUGCCAGUGAGAUGAACCAGGUACUUCAGUUGCAAAUGCAGAAAUCACCCAUCUUCUGCGUAGAUCAUGCUGGGAGCUGCAGACUGGAGCUGUUCCUAUUCGGCCAUCUUGGCAACUCCCCCCAAGAUUGAUCUUUUUAAAUCAACCUUACAGCACUUCAAAUCUCACUAAAAGUACAAUUAAGAGGGCUUUUUAAAGUUCUUUCUUAUUUCCUGAAGAAACUUUUGCUGGAUAUAGUUUGUGCUGUAUGUUUUACAUUGGUUCCUCAGUCCUUCUCUUUAAAUUGCUAAGUCUUUUCAUAGUGCCAGCAGCUUUUCACCAUUUGCUCAUACUUGUUGAUGAGGUUUAGAGAUGGUUUACUCUGGAUAAUCUGUUGGUGAUUAGUAAGUCACUGUACCUUCCUCUACUACUGACUGAGGGCAGCCAGCAGUUAGGGCUUAUGAAUUAGAAUUAGUUUCAGCUACAAGUGACAGCAAAUGUAAACAGUGCUUUAAAUAAGAUAUAACUUUAUUUCUCUUUCAGGCAAAAGAAACCCAGAGGUUAUCAAUCUCAGGUUGAUAGGAUGUUUCACAGUGUCAGGGGCUCUGGCUCAUUCAAUCUUAUUGCUCCACCUUCCUCAGCAUACGGUCUUGGACUGCAUGGUUCAAAAUGGAUGCUCAAGCUCCAGCCAUCAAGUCUAUAUUCCAGUCAGCAGUAGGAAGAUGGGGAAAGAUCACACAUCCUCCCUUUAAGAACCACUUUCUGGAAACGACCCUCACCAUUUCUACUUAUAUUCUAGUGAUUAGAACUCAAUCCUAUGACCAUACCUAGCUGCCAGGGAGGCUAGACAAUAUUCUCUGUAUUCUGGGUAGCCACUUGAUCAGCUAAACGUUCUAUUGCUAUGAAACAAGAAGAGAAUGGAUGUUAGGGAACAACUUGAAAUUUCUGACAUGGAACUUUUCCUUUAUCUGUUUCCAUCUGUUCCACUCUGAUCCAAGAAGAAUUAGGGGCCGGGGGGCAGAGUGGGAAUUGCUUCACUCAAUGGAUAGCAGAGAGAGCAGUCCGUGCUUGCCUCCAUCUAUACUCAUGCUCUCCUCUUCCUUUGUUUAUUGCCAAAAUCUGCAGAGAUUUCAGAUGGGUGGGUGAGAUCUCUUUGUGGUUUUCAGCACUUACAUAGGAUUUCCCUGUUCCUUGGUUUUAUCACUUCAGCAGGAAUGAUGAGAAGAAAUCAAAUUGGAGAAUUUAGUUGGUACCUUGGUUCAAGAGCCUAAACACAAAUUUGACCCUAAGAGUCCUCUGUUUAAAAUCCUGCCCUCAAUAGCACAUGAAAAGAUGUCAAUAUCAUUAGUCAUUAGGGAAAUGCAGAUUAAAAGACAACAAGAUAACACUGCAAACCCACCAGAAUGGCUAAAAUUACAAGGAUAUGAAGCUCCUGGAAUUCUCAUACAUUGCUGGUAGGAGCUCAAAAAUCUUACUACAUCAGAAAAAAAGAGAUUGGUACAACUUAAACAUAUGCUUAUCAUAUGGCCCAGCAAUUCCACUUCUAGAUAUUUGUCCAAGGGGAAUGAAAAUAUGUCCACACAGAGAUUUGUACAUGAAUAUUCAUAACAGCUUUAUUUGUAAAACUAGAAACUAGAAAACAAUCCAAAUGCACUCAAAUGUGCAUCAAUAGGCAAAUAGAGAAGCCAAUUGUGGAAAUCCAUACAAUGGACUACUACUCAGCAAUAUAAAGGAAUGAAGUACUGACACACGCAAGAACAUGGACCAAAAACAUUAUGCUAACUUCUAAAAUAAAAUAAAUCAAUCUGUAUAGUGAUGAAUCAGACCAGUGGCUGUCUAGGUCAGAGAUGGGAGGGAAUAGAGAGAAAACAUAAAAGGACACGAGGGAAAUCUAGGGGAGUGACAAGGGUGUUCCACAUCUUAAUUGUGGCAGUAUUUAUGCAAAUGAAUACAUUUGUUAGAAUUCAUCAAACUGUAUCCUUAAAACUGAUGGGCCAGGUGUAGUGGCUCACACCUGGAAUCCCAGCAAUUUGGGAGGCCGAGAUGGGUGGAUCACAAGAUCAGUAGAUCGAGACUGUCCUGGCCAACACGGUGAAACCCCACCUCUACUAAAAAUACAAAAAAAUUAGCUAGAUGUGGUGGCGGGCACCUGCGGUCCCAGCUACUGGGGAGGCUGAGGCAGGAGAAUGGUGUGAAACUGGGAGGCAGAGCUUGCAGUGAGCCAAGAUCACACCACUGAACUCCAGCCUGGGCGACAGAGCAAGACUCCAUCUCAAAACAAAAGACAAAAAAACGAAAGCUGAUGCAUGGGUGCAUUUUACUGUGUGUAACAUACCUCAGUAAAGGUGAUUUAAAAAACAAAAAUAAAAACAACUCCUGCCCUGCUUCCUACAUCCAAAAGGAUAAAACUGAAACUCUCUUUAUAAAAAAAAAUCACAAAGGCUUUCGUGAUCUGGCCCCUGCCUCCUUCUUCUCCAGCCUUCAGAUCCAUGUGGUCAUAGUGACCUAUCUACUCAAAACUCCAAUCAUCUAUGUCUUUGGUGAGGAGAGUAUUAUGAGGAAGAAAUCCAAUAUUGCUUAAUAAAUGCAGUUUUCUUGGCAUUUCCUACCAUCUUUCAGGUGCUAGGAUGUAUAGAAAUAACACAAGUAAACCUUACUGACAAGGGAGUUGGGGCUUUUCGAAAAGGUUCUCUCUAAGUGGCCCCAGCGUUAAUAGCCUAGGCAUCGGUUCAUCGACCCCCAGCAGAGCCUCCCUGCUGUAGCAACAUGCUCCUAAAUAAGUAUUUUUGCCAGGACAACCCUGUUAUUUUCCUGCUUGAGAACGAAUUUUAAAUUUUAAAGAGGAAAAAAAAAAAACCCUCAGAUACCUUCAGUCAUUCAUUCCAUACCACCCGUAAUAUGUCACUUUGUCUUGAAAUUUUCCCCUGUAUGGCUUGGCUUUAAUGGGUUCAGCAUUUAGUGAGCUAGGCAUGGAUUAUGUGCGAAAUGCAUUAACCUCUCACAUGAUUGUAAAAAUUGCCUUAAUAAAAUAGAGCUAAAUCCUACUUAAUAGCAAUAAAACAGAAGCCACUAUAUUCCAGGGAUGCUAAUGACCUGUGAGUCAUUCCUUUUUAUUUUAGAAGGUUGAACAUUUGGAAUUUGUCCUUUUUUAUGAAAUUUUUAAGCUUGGGCAACUGCUGGAAAAUCACACAAGUUUAAAGAAGUUUCCUGCUCACAGAUACUGGAGAGCCAAGAAACUUCAUCAUAUUUUUAAAGCUUUGUCAUCCUGAGAUGUGCUUUUGAGGUCAUAGAUGCAAAUGGCAAAAGGAAAGCACUGAUUAUAACUAAUAUUUGCCUAGUGCUUUACUGCUUACAAAGCUUUUUUUUAACCUAUAUCCAUUGAUUGAGCUCGUGUAACAGACUUGUGAAGUAGGUACUAUUAUCUCCAUUUUACAGAUAAAAAAUCACAACUCAGAGAGGUAAAGGAAUUUGUCCAAAUCCUCACAGCUAAUAAAAUGAAGAACUAGUAUAUGGAUCCAGGUCCUCUUAAUUCAAGUCCCAUGCUAUCCUUAAGUGCUGUUUUCAUAUUUAUCUUGAAUGAUAAUCAUCUGCUUAUAAAUGGAAGGAAAUGGUAAUAAGUGCUCAAUAACCUGAAAAACUGCCAAGUUUUGGCCUCUUCCCUUUCCCAAUGUUAGGGCUCAAAAAAUUACACCCUAAACUGUGGUGCUUUGGCAUGCCGAGUACUUUGAACUAAAGGAGAUUGGAAGGCCUCAGAAGCAAGUUCUCCCUGACCUUCUCCUCCUUUCCGCUCUCUUACCCCUCUUACCUCUCUUCUCCCAUGAAGCAAGUAAUAGAAACUGGAAUUCUUCUUCCCCAAGGUGGUUUCAAGGAAGUAGAACCCCUCUGCCCCAAAGCAAGCCAUAAAACCUAGACCUAUUACUUUAACCUUCUCCUGCCUUUCUGUGUAGGAGCCAGCCAUAAAGAAAUUAUCUGACCCACCUUGUCUGAGGAUAGGUCAUAAGACCCUCAUUCCAGAGGGGUCCUACCCUGUACCUGAGUGGGAGGAAUGUUACAGAGAAAGGCCAAGAAGAGUCUGAACAGACGGGCCUUGCUUGGUCUCCCUGCCCUCAGUCUACUACCAUUAGGUCAUUCCCUUUUGUCCAGUUGUCUCUCUACAUGGCUGUGCAUCCUUCAUCUAAUAUAAGCAUUAAAACGGACAGUUUUGCCUGAGUCUUUGGCUCUUCAUUUUUGAAGGAUCCUGUGUCACCUAAAACUUUGAUUAAAUAAAUCUAUUAUGUUAUUCUCUUGCUAAUCUGUCCUUUGUUAUAAAGGCGUAUUGGCCAUGACCCUUAUGAUGGGUAAAGAAAGAUAUCACACCUUUGUAUUAUCCCAUUCACACACUGCUAUAAAUAACUACCUGAAACUGGGUAAUUUACAAAGAAAAGAGGUUUAAUUGACUCCCAGUUGCAUAGGCUGUACAGGAGGCAUGGCUGGGGAGGCCUCAGGAAACUUACAAUCAUGGUGUAAGGGCAAAAGAAGCAAGCACUUCUUCACAUGGUGGCAGGAAAGAAAGAGAGAGCAAAGGGGGAAGUGCUACACACUUUCAAACAACUAGAUUUCAUGAAAACUCAUUCACCAUCACGAGAACAGCAAGGGAGAAGUCUGCCCCCAUGAUUCAAUCACUUCCCACCAGGCUCCCCUCCUCCAACGCUGAAGAUCACAAUUCAACAUGAGAUUUGGGUGGGGACACAAAGCCAAAGCACAUCAUCCUUUUUUUGCCCUUAUCACACCUCUUUGCCCCUACACCAGCAAAGUCAGGUUUACCAUGGAAGCAUUUGCUAUCCCAUAUCAGAACCACAGUUUUCUGCCAGUCUUUGUAAUAACUAUGAUAAUCAUAACAAUUAUUAUUGCAAUAACAAUAACAAUAGCAACAGUAAUCAUACUAACUGCUGUCUUCAUUGAGCACUGCAACUGCUGUCAUUAUUAAGCACCAUGGUAGGCAUUAUUAAGUGUCCUAUAUGUUUUAUCCUAUUUAAUACUCACCAUAAUGAAAUAGAUAUUAUUAUUAUUUCCCAUUUUUCAGAUGAAGAAACUAAGGAUGAGAGGAAUUAAGAAACUUGGCCAGUCAUGGAAUAUGGUAGAUUAACUAUUAAAUUGACCCCAAUUUCCCAUCUCUCCCUGUAUUCCUGCCCUUUGCAAGAUGAUUUAAAGACGUUCCCAUAAAGACAUGGAGAGAUUUCCAUACCUGCGAAUCCAGUCUCUGACUUGCUUUAGUCAACAGGAUGCAGCAAAAGUCAUGAUGUGCCAGUUCUGAGCUUGUGCACUUCUACUAUCACUCAGAACACUGCCACUGCCAUGAGAACAAAUCCAGGCUUGCCUACUAGACAAUAAGAAACUACAUGAUCUGAUCUGUCUCAGCUUCAGUCAUUCCAGACCACUCAGACCCUAGCUGACCUACUAGGUGACCACAGACACAUGGGCAAGCCCAGCCAAGAUCAGCCAUGUCUGUCCCAGAUCGACAGAACUCUCCAGCCAACCCACGGACUAAUGAGAAAUCAUAAAUUGCUUUCUUAAGCCACGAGGUUUUGAGGUAGAGUGAUGGUUAAUUUAAUGUGUCAACUUAACUGGCUAAGGGAUGCCCAGAUAUCUGCUUAAACACUAUUUAUGGGUGUGUCUGUGAGGGUGUUUUCAGAAGAGAUUAGCUUUUGAAUCAGUACACUGAGCAAAGAUCACCCUCAUCAAGGUGUGUGAACAUCAUUCAAUCUGUUUAUGGCCCAAAUAGAACAAAAAAGGCAAAGAAAGUAAAAUUCCCUCUCUUCUUAAGCUAGACAUCUAUCUUCUCCUGCCUUCAGACAUGAGAGCUCCUGGUUCUUGGGUCUUCAGCCUUCAAGGCUUACACCAGAGGCUCCCUGGUUCUCAGGUUGUUAGACUAGGACUGAAUUAUAUUACUGGUUUUCCUGGUGCUCCAGCUUGCUGAUGGCAUAUUGUGAGACCUCUGCCUCCACAAUCAUGUGAGGCAAUUCCUAUAAUAAAUCUCCUCAUAUGUCUAUCUAUCUAUCAAUCUAUCUAUCUAAUUAUCUAUCUAUCAUCUAUCUAUCCUAUUGGUUCUGUUUCUCUGGAGAACCCUGACUUAUACUGGUGGCUCGUUACACAGCAAUAGCUAACUGUUACAAGGUGAAACUGAAACAAGAGAGUUCCCUUAUCCCCCUCACAGGAUGUGUGACAGGGGUGUGGCUUGAUCCUUCAGUUGCCCCAGUGCUCAAACCCCUAGGGGAAGCAUGCAGACAGGCAGGUGCAGAGGCUGUGGGGAGCACUUUUGGGAUCCAGCCCCAUAGCAGUGUCUAGGGGUGGGUGUCUGUGACUCCCAAAGCCCAAGUGGGUGUGUGUUACAGUGUGCUCUUUCAGCUUUGCUGUCUGCAGACACCUUGUGUUAAUUAGCUCAAUAGACCCUCUGCCUUAUCGCAAGGGCAGAGGGCCAGUGUGACAGCUUUCUGUACCCCGAGCUCUUGCCCAGUGUACCAGAAAAAUUGGAUCACAUGUGGGCUCAAAGGAUGUGUGCAAGGUUUUAUUGAGUGGUGGAGGUGGCUCUCAGCGAGACAGAUGGGGAGUCGGAAGUGGGGGAUGGAGUGGGAAGGUGGUCUUCCCCUGGAGUUGGGCCACCCGGCAGCUGGACUCUUCUCCUACUGCCCCUAGCCCCAACCUGACUGAACUCCCCUUGGUGUCCAGAUGUCCUUCUUCUUCUCUGUUUCUCUGCCAUGUCAUUCCGCUGUUGCUGGUCUGCCGGUCAGCUGGUGUCUGUGCCUGCUCAACAUUCUCUGCUUGUGUCUGUGCUUGCUAGGGUCUCGGGUUUAUAUGGGCACAGGAUGGGGUGCAUGGCAGGUGAGGGUGGUCUUGGAAAAUGCAACAUUUGGGUGCAAAAGCAGGAGUGCCUGUUCUCACUUAGGUCCAUGGGCAUAGGCCUGAGGGUGGAGCCCUCGCCAGGGACCCCAUCCUUCUCUACCCAGCACUUUUCUGCCCCCUUCCCAUAUCAAAACCAGGAUUUAGACCUAGGUCUUAUGGGUUCCAUAGCUUGAACUCUUCCUUGUACUCUGCAUGGAUAAGCCAUAUCCUUCUAAACAAUCACAGCCAGCAGGAUUGGGAGAAACGUCAAUGUCAGCCCAGGGGAAUAGGAUAGGAUAUCUCAUUCACUGAUAGAAUUUGGGCCACUGUCAGUUUAGGUGUAAAAAUUGAAAGACUCAGAUGACCUGGGUUCUGAAUCCAGCUCUGCCACUAGAAUCUGUAAAACCUUGACCAAGCCACUCAUAUAUCUAGGCAUCUGUGAUCUUAUCCACAAGAGGAAGAGGUCAAGACAUAUUUGCUCAGACUAAUGUUUGCCAAUAGCUGCAGUGUUAAGCAAUGUGCUACAUGCCAAGGAUACAAACCUUACAAAAUUCUCAUCCUCAAGAAGCUCACAGUCUAAUGGAGACAUAAACAUUGCAAACAAAAAAAUUGGAAACAGAUAGGUAUUGUGGUAGGCAAAAUAAUGGUUCCCCAAAGAUACCCACAUCUUAAUCCUGUAUCCAGGAAUUUGGGGAUAUGUUAUCUUCCAUGGCCAAAAGCACUUUGCAGGUGUGAUUUAGUUAUGGAUCUUGGGAUUGGAAGACAGCCCUGGAUUAUCUGGGUUAUUGUAAUCUAAUGUAAUCACAGGGAUUCUUACAAGAGGGAGGCAGGAGGGCAAGAGUCAAAUAGGGAGAUUUGAAGAUUCAACACUGCUGGCUUUGAAGAUGAAGGAAGGGGCCACAAACCAAGGAAGACAGGCAACCUCUAGAAGCUGGAAAGGCAAAGAAAUGGGUUCUUCCAAAGAGCCUCCAAAAGGAAUGUGUUUCUGCCAACACUUUGAUUUUAGACAAAUAAGACCUAUUUUGGACUUCUGACCUCUAGAACAGGAAGAGAAUAACUCUGUGCUGUUUUAAGCCACUCAAUUUGUAAUGAUUUGUUACAGCAGCCAUAGAAAAUGCAUAUACCAUGCCUGGCUCAGUACCUGGCACUUAAGAUGUUGCCUGGCACACAAGAGGUGACUGACUCCAAAUGAUUCCCUGGUGAUGUUGCCAGUCUCAGGCCCUGGUGUGUUCUUGAGAAGGUCUCUUGGAAUGCGCAGUCUUUGGGUCCAUGGUUUCUUACAGAGAGAACUGGGGGGAAAUAAGAUGGGAUAUCUCUGGCUGGCCACCAAUUCCCACCACCUCUUGGCUUCUGCUGCUCCUAUCCAGCCACAAGGCUGUGCCAGGCUGCGGUAGAGGAGCAUGGAGAGAACCAAGGCACAGUCUCUUCCCUCUGGAAGGGGAGCUAUACAAGAGCGUGGACUAUCUGAGCAAGGCCUGUAGCCUUGGGCACCGGGUGGGAAUGACUCCACCUUCUCCCUUCUAGGCCAGGAGCUUUCAAACAUUUGACUAAGACCACCUUUCAUAGGUAUGAAAUACAUUUCAUACCACCACCCAGUACACACAUCUGUGUGUAUAGAUGUAUGUAUGCAUAACUAAGCGAAAGUUUCACCUAACAGCACUUGAUACAUUCUAGUUAUUUAGUAUUCUAAUAUGCUUUAUUUGAUGUAAAAAUACUGGCCACAACAGAGUAAAGUGAUUUCACAACCCAUUGAUGGGGUGCAAUCUGCAGUUUAAAAUCACUCUUUUAAACCAUCACAUCUAGGGAACCUUUUUUUUUUUUUUUUUUUAAGACUGAGUCUUGCUCUGUCGCCCAGGCUGGAGUGCAGUGGCACGAUCUCAGCUCACUGCAAGCUCCACCUCCCGGGUUCACGCCAUUCUCCUGCCUCAGCCUCCUGAGUAGCUGGGACUACAGGCGCCUGCCACCACACCCGGCUAAUUUUUUUUGUAUUUUUAGUAGAGACGGGGUUUCACCGUGGUCUGGAUCUCCUGACCUCGUGAUCCACCCGCCUCUGCCUCCCAAAGUGCUGGGAUUACAGACGUGAGCCACCGCGCCCGGCCUAGGGAACUUUUAAAACCCUGUCAGUUGCCAGGCCCUACCUCUAGAGAUUCUGAUGUCACUGGUCUGGGGAGUGGGCUCAGGUGUCAGUAUUUCUACAGAGCUCCUCAGGUGCUCAAAAGUGAGUCAAAUGUGCCAUCAAGAUUGAGAAGCACAGUCUAGACCCAAACCCACCGUGAAAUGAAUUUGCCGACAGCAGAACUUGGGCCAGGACACUCACUUGCACAAGAUAUUCCACUGGAACACACUCACAGUCACACAUGCAUACACACACACACACACACACACUUUCCUAUGGGAUCAAUUCCAGACUCCUUGUCAGAGCAUCCAAGGCCUUUGAUGAAUAGACCCCAACCAACCUUUGCAGACAUGUCCUCUCUACCAUGCCGUGGUUCCCCUGGUUCCAACACUUCAGUCAUACACAAUUGUCGUCCAUCAGGCCAGAUCUGCUCACAGCACUGGGCUUCAUACUUGUGGCUUCUCUGCUGGGAAAGCCCCUCCCGCAUCACCCUCCUCGCCCCGACUCAGUUCACAGGCUCUCUUGGGAGUCUUCCUACUUCCUCGAUUCUCUGUGUGCAUCACUGGAAUGGAACCCUCACCACUGUGCUCAGGAAUUACCAAUCUACCCAUCUGCCUUCUUCACCUGUGCAAUAACUAUAUAUUUUUUAUUUUCUGUAUUCUUUUUUUUUUUUUGAGACAGAAUUUUGCUCUUGUUGCCCAUGCUGGGGUGCAAUGGCACAAUCUCAGCUCACUGCAACCUCCGCCUCCUAGGUUCAAGCGAUUCUCCUGCCUCAGCCUCCUGAGUAGCUGGGAUUACAGGCGCCUGCCACUACGCCCAGCUAAUUUUGUAUUUUUAGUAGAGAUGGGGUUUCAUCAUGUUAGUCAGGCUGGUCUCGAACUCCUGACCUCAGGUGAUCCACCUGCCUCGGCCUCCCAAAGUGCUGGGAUUACAGGAGUGAGCUACCACACCUGGCCUAUUUACUGUAUCCUUAAUGCUCUGGCAUCUGUGGCCUUGUUAACUGGGGAGAGACCAUUCCUUUCAGGGCUAGCAAAUUGCAAGAGAUGCAAACUACUCCCUUUCAAGGGAGUCUUUCACAACAAAACAACCAAUCCAAAGCCCACAUCCUCCAGGCACCUCCUUCAAUGGGCUCUCUCAGGCUCUUAUACUCCAGGCCAUAAUCACCCCAGGGCCAAGUACCAGACAACUCCAGACAGCCCCUACCCCCCAGAGCCCACUGAAAUUAUUCAAACUAGCCAAUCCUAAGGCCACUUUCCCUGCUGUGCCUGUUCCUUCCCAUGGAAACCACAACCAAGGCUCCCACCCCCCACCUCACUCUUUCAGCCUCCUGACAGACCCCGGUGCUCCUCGACGUGGUCCUGUGUGGUGUGGUGUGCCCCCUCCUCUUGGGACUUGUGAGUAACAAACUAUCUUUUUAAUGGCAAUCGUUUCCUGAUCUGCUGUCUCCCUAUAGUUGAAUAAUAAUAAAACCUACACUUUUAAAACAGCUCAUCUGUGAGUCCUAAGGCAGGGACAACCUUCUAACCCUAUCUUUCGCUGAGCACUUGCUGAGUGACAGGCACUGUGCUAAGCCUUUUACUGGUAUUAUUUUAUUAUUCUCACAACAACCUGAUGAGGUAGGGACUGACCACUCCCAGUUGACAGGUGAGAAAAUAAAGCCAGCAAUGGACAGCGCUAGGAUUCAAACAUAGGUCUGUCUGGCUCCCAGGUCAACUCCAGAUUACCCUCUUGGAGGAGGGGGUGUCAAACUCAGAGGCCACAACCUCAGUGACAGGGCCUCUGCAAACAGGACUGCAAGGCACAGGUAUGCGGGUUUCAUGAAGGCCCCUGGCCAAUGGAGCAAGGAGACCAAAGGAAUCAGCCUCCCAGGCUGGCCAAGGUGGGCACCUCAGGGCUGCUUCCUUCCAGAAGGGACUCCUUUUUCUAGUCUUCACUCAGGGGCCAUCUAGAUUAGCCCUAUAUCAGAACUGCAGUCCUAUGAUGUUUGCUAAUCUAAUUUCCCCAUUGCGUUGUGUGGAGAGGACGCAUUCUGAAGGCAUCUCAGUAUAAACAUCAGAGGCUGUCAUGGAUGUGUCAAAUCAAGGCCCCAAGGCUUCAGGCCCUGAGAUAAAUCCUGCCCCUCCUCUUUAAUUAAUUCUCUCAUCCUCUUUAUGUUUAACAUAGACUGGGCCUGUUCCUCAAAUUCGUUUAUUUGGUUCUGCAAGAGAAGAUUCCCAGAGACAUGUAUUUUAAACAAGUCUUAACUUUUGUCAGUGUAACAUGUGAUUAGCACUUUCCACUUGAGCUCUGUUAUAAUGCCAAGUGGCCCAUGUCCCUCAAAACUGGUGUUAGGAAUCAUCAAUGGCCUCCUGCUGAGUUCUAGGACACAGCAGAGACUUCUUGCUCCAACUGUCCUUAUGUGCUGGUCACUUAUUGUCCUAACAAGGAACUGGGUUUUCAUUGCCCAGAGCUCUUGCUUUUCAAAAGUAAUCUCUUAGCUGUUCCAUAAGAAUAUCACUUUUACAAGAGGCAUGCGCUCUCCCUCUCCCUCUCCCUCUGCCUCUGCCUCUGCCUCUGCCUCUGCCUCUGCCUCUCCCGCUCCCUCUCCCUCUUCCUCUCCCCACGGUCUCCCUCUGCCUCUCUUUCCACGGUCUCCCUCUCCCUCUCUUUCCACGGUCUCCCUCUGAUGCCGAGCCGAAGCUGGACUGUACUGCUGCCAUCUCGGCUCACUGCAACCUCCCUGCCUGAUUCUCCUGCCUCAGCCUGCCGAGUGCCUGCGAUUGCAGGCGCGCGCCACCAGGCCUGACUGGUUUUCGUAUUUUUUCGGUGGAGACGGGGUUUCGCUGUGUUGGCCGGGCUGGUCUCCAGCUCCUAACCAUGAGUGAUCCGCCAGCCUCGGCCUCCCGAGGUGCCGGGAUUGCAGAGGGAGUCUCGUUCGCUCAGUGCUCAAUGGUGCCCAGGCUGGAGUGCAGUGGCGUGAUCUCGGCUCGCUACAACCUCCACCUCCCAGCCGCCUGCCUUGGCCUCCCAAAGAGCCGAGAUUGCAGCCUCUGCCCGGCCGCCACCCCGUCUGGGAAGUGAGGAGUGUCUCUGCCUGGCCGCCCAUCGUCUGGGAUGUGAGGAGCCCCUCUGCCUGGCUGCCCAGUCUGGAAAGUGAGGAGCGUCUCUGCCCGGCCGCCAUCCCAUCUAGGAGGUGAGGAGCGCCUCUUCCCCGCCGCCAUCCCAUCUAGGAAGUGAGGAGCGCCUCUGCCCGGCCGCCCAUCGUCUGAGAUGUGGGGAGCGCCUCUGCCCCGCCGCCCCGUCUGGGAUGUGAGGAGCGCCUCUGCCCUGCCGCGACCCCGUCUGGGAUGUGAGGAGCGUCUCUUCCCGGCCGCCCCGUCUGAGAAGUGAGGAGCCCCUCCGCCCGGCAGCCGCCCCGUCAGGGAGGGAGGUGGGGGUCAGCCCCCGCCAGGCCAGCCGCCCCAUCCGGGAGGGAGGUGGGGGGUCAGCCCCCGCCAGGCCAGCCGCCCCAUCCGGGAGGGAGGUGGGGGAUCAGCCCCCGCCCAGCCAGCCGCCCCGUCCGGGAGGUGAGGGGCGCCUCUGCCCGGCCGCCCCUUCUGGGAAGUGAGGAGCCCCUCUGCCCGGCCACCACCCCGUCUGGGAGGUGUACCCAACAGCUCAUUGAGAACGGGCCAUGAUGACAAUGGCGGUUUUGUGGAAUAGAAAAGGGGGAAAGGUGGGGAAAAGAUUGAGAAAUCAGAUGGUUGCUGUGUCUGUGUAGAAAGAAGUAGACAUGGGAGACUUUUCAUUUUGUUCUGUACCAAGAAAAAUUCUUCUGCCUUGGGAUCCUGUUGAUCUAUGACCUUACCCCCAACCCUGUGCUCUCUGAAACAUGUGCUGUGUCCACUCAGGGUUAAAUGGAUUAAGGGCGGUGCAAGAUGUGCUUUGUUAAACAGAUGCUCGAAGGCAGCAUGCUCGUUAAGAGUCAUCACCACUCCCUAAUCUCAAGUACACAGGGACACAAACACCGUGGAGGGCCGCAGGGUCCUCUGCCUAGGAAAACCAGAGACCUUUGUGCACUUGUUUAUCUGCUGACCUUCCCUCCACUAUUGUCCUGUGACCCUGCCAAAUCCCCCUCUGCGAGAAACACCCAAGAAUGAUCAAUAAAAAAAAAAAAAAAAAAAGAUCCAAAAAAAAAGAGACAUGCCCACAGUAUUACAACCAUGGACAACCUCAGUGAAACUCUGGGUUAUUAGCUGGAGACCUAAAGGUGGCACCAAAAUGAGUAUCUACGUUCAACCAAAUUAAUGACACUCCUCAACCUUUGACCACAGAAGCCCAUGAAGUCACUAACCAAUGCCAUCUGCACUCCAGACACUCACAGUAUAAUGCAUCCGCCCUUGGAGCUAGAGAUCCCCACAGCCUGGUCUUGCAGCUCCAAGGCCAGCGGCCCCACGCAGAAGUCCCACCUGACCCUGCCACCAGCCCACAGCCUCUGGUCACCCUUCUAUACCAUCUGGCUUCAGAGGGCUGAGGGGCAGUUCACUGCCGGCCAGUUCAGCCAGGAUUUGUUGGACACAAAAAGAAUGGAAAUGUGUAUUAGAAAUGAGCACUAUAUAAACAGUCAAUAAAUAUAAGAUCAUGUUACGAUCAUGACUCUUGUUACACACACCCGCCCCCCCAACCCAUGUUCUCGUAACUAGUUCUUGCUCUGGGUUGGGUUACAACUUGGUUUCAAUCUCUGUUUACUGAUUAUGUGACCUUAGCUAUGUUGUUUGGCCUCCCUAUGCCUCAGUUUCCUAAUUUGUAAAUUGGAGAUGAAAACAGUUCUUGUAGGAUUAUGAACAGUUCAUAAAUGCAAAGUGCCUGACACAGAGCAAUACAUUCACAAGCCACCUUCACACUUUCAGCCUUUGCACUUGCUGUUCCCUCUGCCCCAAAGUCCCUUCCCUCCUCUUGGCCUGGAAAAGUCCUACUUUCUUUCCAGGACCAUCCUGGAUGCUACCUCUUUUAGGAAAUGUUCCCCAUCCCCUCCAAGCUGUGACUCCCCACAGCCUGUUCUGUGCUCCACACAAUCGUGCUCCCUCCUCUAGGAUAGCGUUGGCCACACAGAACACUAUUCUCUUACCACAGUUCCCUCACCCUAGCCAUGAAGUCCUUGAAGGCAGGAUUAUGCCAUCCAUUAUUGAACCUCCAGAUUACAGUUCCAUGCCUGGUAUUAAGUAGAUGCUCAAUAAAGUUUGGCUGGCUUAAGUAAUGAAUGAGUUAUGCUCAUAAUGAGGGAAAAGCCACAAAAACACAGAACAGUCUGACAGCCAUCUAAGGCAUAGUGGGGUUAAGCAUCCCUUUGAGCAGUGUGAGUGGUGAGCCCUAUAGCUGUGAUUCUCUCUCCUACUUACGUAAUUGGUUUGGGAAGAGACCCAGGAAUCUGCUGGUUUGGUUUGGUUUUAGCUUGCCAGGUGAUCCUAAGGGGUGGCCAGCUUUGAGAACUAUUACUCUACCAUCCUGCCCUAACAUCAGGUCCUAUGAAUUCAAAGCAGGGGCAAUGCCUCAGCUUACCAUAGCUCCCAGGGCCCAGCCACAUCACCCGAAGGGUGCUGCUACCUGCAGGAGCUGGUCCUUGGGCUCCAACUUGACAGCUGAGCAUCAUAUGAAAGGUGACAAGGUAAGGAAAGGGAGCUAGACAGACAUAUGGGGUGAGGACAGGUGAAAGGCUGUGAGGUGAGGAACAGGUCCCCCAUCAAGCUGAACCCCCUAUCCUUUAGCACCAAAGUCAGCCUUUACUUCCUCCUGAGAAGCCUUUGCCCAGGCACCUCCAUGCCCUGAAGGCUCUCUCUUCAGCUCCCCAGUAGCCCCUGCCUGCCUCUCCCCAAGCCUGCCUCUCCUGCAAGCACCCUGCCUGCAUCAUUCAUUCCAUUUCCCUUAUGCCAGGCACAGUGCUGGGGCACAUGGAUCAUCCACUGGUUGGUGAAUGCCAAAGUAAAGUGAAAAGUCUGAAUCAUACAGAAUAUUUUUAAAGAAAAGCACUCUAACUGCCUUCCAAUGUAAAAAGUUCUCCCAAUAAGAGCUAACAGAUUAGACCCAGGGAGCCCGCUUUGAGAAAGCAGGAGUGUAAUUAGCACACUGUCGAUGUAUAAACAGCAGCCUCAAAGUAGUUGUGAAUAGUUUAUUUGCUGGUGUGAAUUAGCAUUCCCUUGCAAUAUUAUGAUAACAAUGGCCUACCUUAGUUUCCUUGCACUUCUCCACCUAAUCUUAUUUAUAAUCAUUAAUAGUAAAAAGGAAGCCUGGUUUUCCUGGCUUCAAAUCAUGCCAGACUCCAAACCAGUGAGGUCUGAAUUAAUGAGCUUGAACUGUCUGCAUUUGCCUCCUAAAGCUGUCUCAGCUCCCUCCACGGGUUUUCCUUCAAGGGCCAUCUCUCAGAUAACACAGCCUCCUUUCUCUUGGCAAAUGCUAUGAGUGCCCCCCAUUUUCAGAUGGGAAAGUGGAGGCACAGAAAUGGACAAAAUUGUCUGAGUAGCACAGGAUUCAAGCCCAGGAGAUCUGUCCCAGUGCCUGCAUUUGUCCUCAGAGAAGCCCCAGUCCUAGAAAGUCAAACCACAGUUACCAGGGCCUGGAAGAGGAGGCCAUGGGGAGUUACUGUUCUCAGCUACAGAGUUUCAAUAUGCAAUGACAAGAAACUUCUGGAGAUGAGCGGCGGGGAUGGUUGCAAAACAAGGUGACUAUACUUAACGCCACUGAAUUGUACACUUAAAAAUGGUUAGAAUGGCAAUUUUAUGUUCUAUAUAUUUUACCCCAAUUUAAGGGGAGUUACACUUGUUUUUUUCUUUUUGUUGUCUUUUGUGUGUGUGUGUGGAGAACGGGGUCUCACUAUAUUGUCCAGGCAGGUCUCAAAUUCCUGGCUCAAGCUAUCCUCCUGCCUCUGCCUCCCUAAGAGCUGGGAUUACAGGCGCGACCCAUGGCGCCCGGCCUUUAGCACAAUUUUUAAAGAUGGCUCGGGGCAAUGGCUCACACUUGUAAUCCCAGCAUUUUGGGAGGCCAAGGCAGGAUGAUUGCUUGAGCCCAGGAGUUCAAGACCAGCCUGGGCAACAUGGUGAAACCUCAUCUCUACAAAAAAUUAACAAAAUGAGCCAGGUGUGGUGGCAUGCACCUGUAGUCUGAGCCACUGCAGAGGCUAAGGCAGGAGGAUCGCUUGAGCCCAGGAGGUUGAAGCUGCAGUGAGCUGUGAUCAUGCCGCUACACUCCAGCCUAGGCAACAAAGUGAGACCCUGUCUCAAAAACAAAACAAACAAAAAGAUUCAAACUUCAGUUCUGCUACUAACUGUGUUCUUUUCCACUGGAACACUACUGUUUCUUUAUCUAUAAAAUGAGGACAAGAACUGACUUCUCAGGUUUGUUGUGGGGGUUAAAUGAGAUGGUGCAUCUCACGUACUUAGCACAGCACUUACUAUGCAGUAAGAACCCAUACGGACAGCGCUAUCACUGGCCUUGCUGCUGUUAUUUAUAUUCUUUGCUCCUAACUCCUACAUUUUACAGGUAAGGUAAGCAAGACCCGGAGAUGUGUGAGGCAGAGCAUCCUGCCUAGUGUCCCCUGACCAGUUGAUGAAGGGGCAGGUGCUGGCACUGGACCUCCUGCCUCCAACAGCCCCUCUCAGUGGCUAAGCUCCCAUGCUGGGUUCUGCUGUGCCGUUGGCAGACACCGUGAGUCAUCAGGAAAGGCCUUUGCCCGCACACGCACACUUCUGUUCUCUUCCACUAUGGAGCACGUGUUUUAAGGUACACAUGCAGGUGAAACCAUCAAGGUUUUCUUUUGCCUUGCUCCCCAGUUGACUCGAGAAGCUUUUCCACAUGUGACACAAGUAACAGGAGAUAAUGUGAGCAAACGUGGCUACCCCUCUAAAUCCUGUCAUCAGAACCACUCAGGGGAACAGAAGGUAGUCUCCAGCCCGGUUGGCCUUUCUUUGUCGAAUUCUUUUCUAAUUUUUCAAGGGUAGUGAGUAGGGGUGAGAGGGGUGCUUUCUCUUUCCUACUUUCCCAAAAUGUCCUCAGCAGCAGCUGCCAGGGGCCCUGUGACAGCACAAAGUGCAGAUGGAGUGAAGGUCUCCCACAACUAACUGUCCCCGCCUGCCCUCUCACACCAGCACUCUGUAUCCCUACCAUGGUUCUCCCCUAGGGCAUGACCAUUUGAUAUCUCAGUCCUUCUGGAACCAAAACCCUUUGGAUACAGUUUGAACAAAAUAUAUAAAAUAAUAUUGCAUCAUAACCCAGAGUAUAAAAUACAUAUGUAGAAGUCCAUACUAAGAUAAAUACAUGAGUGGCCAAAUAAAUGGGGAAGAGACAAUCCUCCCCUGCAGAAUUCCAAAUUAUUUAUGUAGAUACUUGGUCCUCAAGGAGGUGCAGCAUUAACUCCCCAACACUUAGUAUGGGCUGUAUAUAAUGACUUCCUUCCAAAGGGUACAAUAUGGAAAGGGGGAAUAAAGACAAACUGCACUAAAGCAACCUGACAAACACUGCCUCCGCCAAGUGAUCAAGAUCAACAUCAGCAGUGAGGUCAUGUUAAUAGUGUGUACUCUUGAUAAAUGAGAUAAACACAGCACUUUACCUCUGUGGCCUUUCUCCCUAAAACCCAUAACCCUAGUCUAAUAAUGAAGAGAAAAAAUCAGACAAAUCCCAAUUGAGAGAUAGUCUACAAAAUACCUGACUGGCACCCCUCAAAAUUGUCAGGGUCAUUAAAAAAAGGAAAGCCUAAGAAACUGUUAUGGACUGAACGUCUGUGUCCCCACAAAAUGCAUAUGUUGAAAUCCUAACCCUUAAUGUCAUGGGAUUAGGAGGUGGGGCCCCUGAGAGGCCAUUAGGUCAUGAGGGUGGAGCCCUCAUGAAUGAGAUUAGUGACUUUAUAAGAAGAGAUACGAGAGCUUGCUUUCACCCUCUGCUCCUCCACCUUGCGAGGCCACAGUGAGAAGACGGCCAUCUGCAAGCCUGGAAGCGAGCCCUCCCCAGACGUCUGCUGGCACCUUGAUCUUGGACUUUCCAGCCUCCAGAAUUGUGAGACAUAGAUGUGUGUUCUUUAAGUCACCCAGGCUGUCUGAACUAAGAUAGAAACUGUCACAGCCAAAAAGGUCUAAGUUAGAGACAUGAGUACUAAAAGCAAUGUGGUAUCUUCGAUGGGUCCCUGGAACAGAGAAAGGACCUUCAAGGAAAUCUGAAUAAAGUAUGGACUCCUGUUCACAAUAAUGUAUCCAUUCUGGUUGGUUCAUUAAUUGUGAAGAUUGUACUAUACUUAAGUUAGAUGUUAAUAAUAGGAGAAAGUGAGUGUGUGGCCUGUACAGAGAAGCCCCAGGUGGGUCAGGGGGCUCUUAGGGCCUGGGUAUGCCUAGGGCAUAGAUACUCUUUCUGUAGUAUUGCACACUUUUCCUGUAAAUCUAAAAUUAUUCUAAAAUAGAAGUUUAUUUAAAAACAAAAACAAAAGCAAAAAACCUCCUUGGAUAAUACAGAACAGAACCACUUAUGUUGCAUUAUCUCAGAAUCACGAACAAUGCCAAUGGGUCCUUUGUUCACCACUCUUCGAAUUAUUGGGUUCCUCAGGAGGCCCCAGGGACUGAAUGGGCAGGCAGAGCCCACCUCCCUUCCCCUCUCAGCUCCCUUUUCAUCUGCUUUAUACCCUCAGCUUCUACCUUACUGCUGAAACAAAGCGUUCCUCUACUCUAAAGAGUUGACAACUACCGGUCUAGUCCAACCCCAUCAUUCAAGGUACAGGAGGAGGCAUCCUCAGGGGAUUCACCAAGUAAGGGACAGAGCUAGAGCUGGAACCUCAUGUGGUGGACACCUGAGGCUGUUCUCCAGGUGUUACCCCAGCUCUCACCUGUGAGCCUGGAGCUCCUUGAGGCAGGAACAGUGCCUGGUUUGUCUGUGUCCAUAGAACCCAGAAGAGCACUUGAGACAGGGAGGAGUCCCGUGGGAUGAAUGAAUGACACUGUUCCCACCACGUGACUGUUCCAAAAUGCCAGUGCUGUUCAAACCUGGAAAAUUCUGCAGACAUUUCAGAUAAAGGCAAAAUAGAGAUCUCCUUGGUCUGCAUCCAUACUUUUAAUUAAAAUAGACUCUUCUAUCUGUCAGUGAGCUUGUGUACUGCAGCCUGGCUUUGGAGGGACAUUCAUGUAUCCAUUGUUUCACUUUAAAAGCUUUAUGGAGGCCAUGCGCAGUGGCUCAUGCCUGUAAUCUCAGCACUUUGAGAGGCUGAGGUCAGGAGUUUGAGACCAGCCUGGCCAACAUAGAGAAACCCCAUCUCUACUACAAAUACAAAAAAAUUAGCCAGGUAUGGUGGUGCGUUCCUGUAAUCCCAGCUACUCAGGAGGCUGAGGCAAGAGAAUUGCUUGAACUCAGGAGGCAGAGGUUGCAGUGAGCCAAGAUCAUGCCACUGUACUCCAGCCUGGGCAACAGAGUGAGACUCUGUCUCAAAAAAAAAAAAAAAAAAAAAAAAAAAGCUUCAUGGAGCACCUCCUACACAUUAUUAACAAUAGCAACAACAAUAAUUCAUACAAUAAGCAUUCACUAAGCACCCACUAUGUGUCAGGCUGAGUUCCAGACAUGAGAAAUACAACCCUGAGCAAGGCAGACACAUUCCCGCCCUCAGACAGCUUACAUUCCAGUGCCCUAGCAGAGAUCCCUAACUGUUAUAGAUGCUUCCCAUGUGCCAGGCAUUGUGCUCAAAGGUUCUCAUUUUGCCCUGUGAGGUAGGGAUUUUUGGUUCCCUGAUUUUUCAGAUAGGGAAAUAGAGGCCUAAUUCCUUGUCCGAAGUUACUCAGUGAGCAAGUAGCUGAGCUGGGAUUUGAGCCCAGGCACUCCGAAUCAAGAACACAUAUUCUCAAUUGUCAUAUGAAAGAGUAGUUGUGGGUCAGAGGACCUGGCUAGUGAAGCACACACACUAGGUGUCCUAUGUGAAGCGCACACACUAGGUGUACUAGGCUUCAGUGGAAAAUGAAGCAGCCCUUUAUUACUAGCAACUGGUCAUGCAUCCAGCAUCCCUUCCUCACUGCCCCCCCACCCACACUCAUGGCUCUCUGGGAAAAGCUGAGAUAAGGAGAUAAGCUUUGCCAGGAGGUCUGUGCAAGGGUUUCUUACCCAGCACUCCUGAACCUAAGACGGUGAGAGCCUCAGAGUCGCCCCCGCGUGACUUACCCUCUCGGCCUCAGGCCCAAAGCUGCAUCCAGGGUGGGGUGCCUGGCUGGACUAACAGGUGGAGGAGGCACAGAGCCUCUGUUCCUGCCUUUAAGAUACAGACACCCACCCACUAGUACGAUUUGUUCCAGAGAAUAUCCUUACUCUGUUCACUCCGACUAUCAACAUCUCCUCCCGUGGGAGGGGCAUGACUAGGAGGGAUUAGAGCAGGGGCAACCCCCAGGCACGAAGGGAGGUAGAGUUCUUUCUCAUCUUGGAGCAGAGAGGAACUAUGGGCAGGGGAUGGAAGUAUUUUCUUAUUGCAUUGUGGGCUUACCCCUGUGCUGGGCACAGGUGGUACAUGGAGAAGAAGCUGGGAUUCCUGUCCUAAAAGGAUUCACAAGAGGGUGAAAGAGACCACAGACUUCUACAUGAAUAAUACAGCCCAGUGGGGCUGUAUGAGCUGGUUGGGUGAUGGUGGAGGCUUCUCAGAGGAGGGUGAAGGCCUUGGUUCCUUCGUCUGAGCCGGGUUUUGAAGAGUGUGUUGAAGUUCUCCACACAGAGAAGAGGGGAAAAGAACCCAGGAAUUAGAUUCAAGGCCCCGAGCUUAGCAGCCACAUGGGGUCGGGGGUUCUCAGGGGAUGGGUGAGCCUGGGGCACAGAAAGUUCAGGCAGGAGUGUGAAGAGUGAGGCUGGGAAGACGGGCUGCACGUCAGACUGCAGCAGCCCUCGUGUGUGAUACUAGGGAACUCGGCCUUUUUUUUCUUUUGAUAAGCAAGGAACUCAAGGAUAAGUUUUGAGUUACUUGGUUUUGUCAGGGGAGGGGAGAGUUGUGGCUUGGGGGCUUAUACAGUCACACUUUUUAUUUAGAAAUUUAUUCUGACAACUCAUCUGAAGAACUCAUUGUCAUUCAAAUAAUUAUUUGGCACCUACCACAUCCCUGACACUAAUAAGGGGCUGGAGAUACAGUGGCAAACUGAAUAGACAUGAUCCUGGCCAUCUUUGAGCUUACAGAUAGGCCGAAAAGAUGAACAUUAAAGAAAUAUUGAAUUCCAGUUAUGACAAGUCUAUGGAGGAAAAGCCCAGUGGGGGUGAGUACAUGUAUCAGGGCAAUAUAGAAUCUGCUGGGGAUGGCAGAGAAGGUUGUGCUGAACUUAUGGCACUGAAGGUGAGUCCCGGAGCCUGAGUAGAAGUGUCUGGUCAGGGAGCAGGAGGAGGGUGUUCCGGAUGGAAGGAACAGCAUGUGCACAGACCUGGAGCUGGAGAGGAGCGCAGCACAGCAGAAAAACACAAAGGCGGCCCAUGCACUCGUAAUACAGCAAGCACGGAACAGGGUGGCAUGAGAUGGGCAAGCCCUCAAAAGCCAUCACAAAUAUUUCAGACUUUAUCUUAAUAUCAGGGUCAAGCCAUCAAACAAAGCAAAGUAACAGGAUCCCGUUAGAGUUUUAUCCCUAUUACAUGGGAAACUUAUUGGAACAAGGCUCCAUGAAGGCAGAGGGGUCAUUAGGAGGCAGAAUCAGCAGGCUUUGGGUAUUGUCUUUUUUGAGGUGAAGAUGAAAAGGGAGAAGUAAUUGGAACGUGAUUCUGAGGAUUUGAGCUUAGAGAAAGGGACAGAUGGCAACUUCGGAUCAAGAGGGAGCACACAGGAGAAGGAGCAGAUGCUGGCAGGGACCAGGAAUGUCUGCACAAGAAGAAAUCCUGCAACCUUCACUACCACAGAACUAGAGAGCAAAGAUGAGUUUCCAAAGAGGUGGGAGAGGGUCUGGGCUGGAAAAGAGGCCCAGAGAGGCAGUAGGUGGAACGUCCCCUGGCACUCCAAAAUUCACUAUUUGUACCUCCAAGGGAAGCUGUCAGGGAGGGGACAGGAGCACUCUGAGCCCCUGCCCUGACCCCACAGAGGUGCAAACUUACUUCCUGCUGGCUAGGUAAAGUGGAAUCAAAGGCAGAAAAGUUCCCCACUGGCUGACAUUUUGGGGAGCUCACAGAAGGGUGAGUUUCUUAAAUCCAAUCUCAGCACCAAUGAGGAGCUGAAACAUAUUGUACCCAUUAGAAAAGAAAUGCAAAUCAGAAAGUCAGGCAUUUGUGUCCAUGACAACAGGGGGAACGUAUUUUGGCAAAUCUGAGUUCAUUUAUAUUCAAAUAAAUAUUUCAGUCUAUGACUCUGGCACUUUUUUGCAUGAGAUAUUUCAGAACCAUAUUGAAUGUUGCUCUCAUGCUAAAAACUUGAGAAUUAAAAUGAGGUCCAAUUUCAAAGUCUAUCAGGCUCCAAGAUUUUGAGGUUGGUUUUACCUCCAGGAAUGAAAAAGAAUGAUAAACUAGAGAGUGAUUCAGCACAUUUGUACAAAGACUUUUUGAACUGGAAAGGCUGGUUCAGUAUUAUCCCAUGCAGCCCCUUCUUUGUAAAAAUGGGACAACAGGCUCAAGUGAGGCCAAAGAUCACAUAGCAAAUUAAUCUAGAACUCAGGUCUCCGUCAGGCCAAUGCUGUUUCCAGCACAUCAAGCCCGGUGUUGGAAUAGGAAGAACAGCAGGUAUAAGAAGACUUUGACACAUGAUCAGGUUCUUCUCUGUUAAGGUAGGAUGUUGUCCUCUAAUUAUAAAAGCAAUCCAUGACCUUUGUGGAAAAUCUGUACAGUGUGUUACCCAAAUCUUCAAAGAUAUUAUCUGUAGUAAACCCUAUAAUUCCCCAUAUAAUCACCGGUAGCAUUUUAACACAUUUCCUUCGAGCUUUUUUUGUGCAUAUGUCUUGUACAUAGUUGAAGUCUUAGUAAUGCACAAUUUUGCAUCAUAAGCAUUUUCCUGAAUCAUUAAAAACUUUUUCUAUGCAAAGAAAAAAGUUAAUGGAUAAAUAAUAUUCCACUCUAUAAAAAUACUAUAAAUUUCCUAAAUCAUUUAUUUAAUUCACUGUUGGAUAUUUAGGUAAUAUCCAAUUUUUUGUCAUUUAAAUAAUAUUUUGUUGGAUGACUUCAUGUUUAAAUCUCUAUUUACACAUCAGAUUAUUUCCUGGGACUAGAUUUCUAGACAUGGAAUUAUUGGGCUAAAAGGUAUAAGCAUUUUAAAGACUCCUGAUGUAUACCAUGUUGCAGAAAAGGUUAUAUUGUUGCUAGUGCAAGGUGGAAUGCAAUCUCACCAUGCUCUGACCAACCCAUUAAGCACCACGCCAGCCUUCAAGGAGCACACAGCCCAGCAAGGGGUGUGAGGAAAAUGGCCUAGAUAAACAACCUGCUACCAUAAUUUAGAGGAGUAAGAAGAGAUGCUCACCCUUACACUGGAGAGAUAUUCCUAAUUAGAUGCUGACUCUGUUCUCUGGGAGAACUUUCCACUCUCAUUACUUUUUGUGGCUCCUGACUUGGCUCUCAGAAGUUUCUCCUUGCUUACUGUCUUCUGUGGCCCCAUCUGAAGUGGGUUUUGUAGAAUAUUCCCUUCUUUAAGGCUCUACAACUUUUGCAGCUGCUUUCUUCCGUGCAAGUUCAGGGACUCAAGAGGUGUUUUAAGACUAACCAGCCAAGUUGCUCUUGAGCUCACCUCCUUCUGGUAACACAUUGCAAAAGCAGAAAGUAAAAUCCAACUGAUACUAUUGCUUUGACUCUUUCAAACUGUAUGCCCUAAUGCAGCAGGCUCAGGAGGCACCUGGUCUGCCUUCCAAGUUGUCACAGGUGAGUUUCACCAAAUGGUUUGCCCCUAUUUGUCAUGGUUUUCCAUAAGUCCAGCUCCAAAAUCAGUUUCCUUGCUGCCUGCCACCUGACAACCAAGUCAAUGUCACAUAUUUUAGGUUUUUGUAACAGCAGCACCCCACUUCUGGUAACAAGUUCUAUAUUAGUUAAAUUAAUACUGGCUGCUGGAGCAUAAAACCCCCCAAAUCUCAGUGGAUUAACGCAGCAUAAGGCUUUUUUAAAGUCCCUGAAAGUCCUAAAAGGAGGACUAAUCUGACCAGUGGGAUGCUCUCCUCCAUUAGUGAUUAUGUUUCUCAGGUUCUUUUUAUCUUGUGGCUCUGUCAUUUUCACCCCUUAGCAUAUGAGGUGACCGUGCUCAUCUGUAUCAAGCUGGGAGAGGGAAAGAGUAUGGAAAAGAGAAUGUUAGAUAUUUUUUAAUGGCCAGGUCUGGAGUAGCUAACGUCAAUUCCACUGACAAUCCAUCAGCUAGAACUUGACUGCACACACUUAACUGCAAAACCACACUUACCUGCAAAGGAGGAGGAGAUGUGUAGUUCAUCCUCAAGCCAAGGAGGAAGACAAAAUGGCUUUGGAUGAACUCAUGGCAAUGUCCUCGCUACCUUUCACAGUACACUCUACAUUUGCAUGGUUCAUCUCUUUACCUCACCCCAUUUCUGCCCCUGUCAACAGAGCCUGUCUUUAACUAGAAUGUUGGUAUUUUAUUCAUCAAAGAUUUUUUCAUUAAUUUUAAUUUUUAAAAAUACUACACUAAGGCCAGGCACAGUGGCUCACGCCUAUAUUCCCAGCACUUUGGGAGGCUGAGGUGGGUGGAUCACAAGGUCAGGAGAUCGAGACCAUCCUGGCUAACACGGUGAAACCCCAUCUCCACUAAAAAUACAAAAAAUUAGCCGGGCAUGGUGGGGGGCACCUGUAGUCCCAGCUACUCGGGAGGCUGAGGCAGGAGAAUGGCAUGAACCCAGAAGGCAGAGCUUGCAGUGAGCCAAGAUCAUGCCACUGCACUCCAGCCUGGGCGAUGGAGCGAGACUCCGUCUCAAAAACAAAAAACAAACAAACAAAAAAAACCCAGCCUGGGCCAGCUUGUGUAGGAAACACAAAACAAAUAUCUGCCCUCAUGGAUUGUACAGCUUAAUAAUGAGUCAAUGGAAAAAUAUAUGUGAAAGACCUUGAGAAAGAAUCAAGCCCUCUAUACAUCUACAGCCAAAGAGGAUCCAGGCUGUGGCCUCACUGACCUCUUCAAUGUUUGCAUUUUUAAAUAGGCUGCUUGGUGGAGCAGGGGAGCAAAGGGGCAGGAUGUUGGGGGGAGCCCAGGGCGGAGUAGGGUGAGUGGCAACGUCGCUUCAUUUUAAGGACAGUAAUUCUCCUGGCAACACCCAUUAACCUGAAACCCCAUCUUGCCUCUUACAAAAUACCUGCUAGAAGCUCUUUUCCAAAAGGGCCCACAGUCCUUGCCACAAAACAAUUUUAGCACAUUUAAACCAGGACUUUGAGUGUGGAUUUAAAGUGGUCCUAUGACAUCAUGUGUGGAAUAUAUAGAAACCUUCCAUGAGCAGAAGAUUUGAUUGAGCCUCAUUGUUGACAGCACAUCUGUCUGGAGCAGCUGCAGGGGCCAGGCACUAUUCCGGGCACUGUGGGCAGAAAUGGAAUGAGGGAUGUUGUAGAGGCUCCUGUGAGGCUUACAGUCAAGGUGGGAAGGCAGGAUGGGCACAUGGAACAGGAACACGCCUUCAUUAGUCAGAACUCUGUGCUGCAAGUGACAGAUACCCUACUCAACUAGCUUAGGCAAACAGGGGGAUGUUGAUUAUGAGAAUGUUGGUGUGUCUCACAAAACCUAAAGAAUAACCAAAGCCAAGGACUUGGAUGCAGCCAGCUCUCUCUCCCUCUCCUGUCUCUCCUUCUCUUGUGUGACAAGCACGUUCUUUCAUCUCCCAUAGCCUGGUUUUCUCCUUUCACCCAGGGGAAAACAUGGCUGCCAAUAGCUUCAGAGCUUGAGGUGUCAUGGCCUCAGCUACCCCGGGAGAGAAACAAAGCUGACACCCAAGAUUCCUAGGGAAGGUAUCGAUGGCUCCUUUUGAGACAGGUGCCACCUCUGGAAUAAUCAACGGUGUCCAAGGGAUAGAAGGACAGCACACCAAGGUGGCAGCUCCCAUGGUGAUUGUAUGGAUGGGGAUGGGAAUUUCCUAGAAAAAGAUCUGGAGAGAUCCACUGAGAACCAUACAGGACUCUGCACAAUGAGAACCGAGAGAGACAUUAACAGGAGGUCAGAGGAAGAAGCAAAGGAACCAGCUCCGUAGGACCUUGUUAGGCAGUGUUAAAGGGGUAGUGCAUCCAGGGGCCUAUAUGAAAGAUGACCAACUGUACUUGUGUUUCCUCCCUUCUCAUCUCGGGGAAAGUGGGGAGCUGGUGGUGAAAAACAGAGAAUGAAGCCCUUAGCAGCCAGCUCCAACCGCUCGCUAUGUGCCAGAUGCUAUGAUAAGCCCUUAUUUGUAUCUCAAUUAAUCCCCACAGAAAACCUGUGAGGGAAAAAAUAAGUAUCCCAUUUUACAGGUGAGGAAACUGAGGAUAGCAGAGAUGAAGUAAUUUGCCACAGAUCACACAGCUGUAGGUGGAAGAGCCAAGCUUUGAACCAGGUGUGUGUGUGACACCAUGCCCCAUGGCCUGGCUUGGCACCCCUCCACUGCUGCACCCACCCAGAUGGCACUGAUGGUUUCUAGGUAAAAAGAUGCCUCAAGGAACAUCUACCGAUCCCCUCUAGAACACUGUUUUGAGAAGGUGCAUUAGUCUGGGUCCUCUGAGGAACAAAUGCCAAUCAGAAUUAGAUGUGCCAAAAAGUUAUUAGGGAAGCAAUAGUGAUAGAAAAUGGGGAGGGUGGGCUGGGCACAGUGGCUUACACCUGUAAUCCCAGCACAUUGGGAGGCCGAGGCAGGUGGAUCACUUGAGGUCAGGAGUUUGAGACCAGCCUGGCCAACAUGGUGAAACCCAUCUCUACUAAAAAUAAAAAAGACUAGCCAGGCAUGGUGGUGCAUGCCUGUAGUCCCAGAUACUUGGGAGGCUGAGGCAGGGGAAUCACUUGAACCCAGGAGGCAGAGAUUGCAGUGAGCCAAGAUUGUGCCACUGUACUCCAGCCUGGGUGACAGAGUGAGACUCCGUCUCAAAAAAAAGAAAAUGGGAGGGUGCCAAGAGAGGCUGGAAUAUAGUUUGAACCCCAAAUGAAGGAGAAAAAGAAGGAAGGAAGACUUAGUGGAAGCAUUCUAGACUGCCGCGGAGUUGUAAGGAAAGUUUGGCAGGCUGUCAGAAAGGUGUCAAACCACAGUUACCCAUCAGAAAAGACCCAUGUCUCCUAGGAACAAGUUUGCCUUAGUAUCGCUGCCAGGCUCUGUUCCCUGGGAACAGCCUACAGAAGCACGGCUUGGAGGCAAGCUCAGGAAGGAGACACUGUGGAAGGAUUUGAGAACUCAGCGCCAGGGCUGCUGGUCAACCGUGCUCCGAGCUAUUGGAAAUCUAAGAGGUGCAUUCCUACCACCACCACAGAAAGGCUGCAUCAUACUAACACCCAUUUUUAACCAUUAUCUGGAAAAUAUAACUGUUUUAUACCCAUCAUGGGAGAUCAAUAAGCGAUUUAAAAAGCCAAUGAUAAUUCUUUGAUUCUUUUUUUUUCUUCCAUGAUUGAGGAGUGUAAUUCUGUUUCCCCAGUUUAUCAUUAGAAAGUUCCACUAUUUUCUUGCCUUUAUGUUCCUUAUUAUGUUCCUACCAAAUAAUGCUGUUUCUUUCAUUUUUGGGGGGGUCUGGGGCCUUCUGAUAUUUAUUUUCUUUCCAAGGCUAUAUGUACGGUUCUAGAUUUGAUCCCAGAAUGCUAGAAACCCAACAUUGUAAGGCUUUAAACGCUGUCUCUGCUGUGGACAUCCAAAGCACUUUGGACUUCCUCUACCACAACAACCCUCCCACUUCACUAUAAUUUCUUGCUUGCAUAUAAUAAACUAAACUCCAUGAAGUCAGAGACUGUCACUAAUAUGUUGCAUUUCUAGCUCCCUACCAUGUGUCUUGGUUCAAUAAAUAUUUCUAGAAUUAAUACAUCACCCAGUCUAGUCUCUUAUAUUUUCCAUCAAACACAUUUGAUGAUUGGUUGAUGGGCUAUUUUUACUCAAAGACAAUCUAAUGAUAUUUCAACAUUUCCAAUUGAUCAAUUUUACUUGAGAAUGUAUAUGAUUUUCCCCAUUACAAGCAAACUAAACUCUAUCUGUACUUUCUGGGCAAGGGCCCCAGGAGCAUCUGAGACAGGUAUACUCCCUGCCAUUCCUUAUCCCACCAUUACCACCAUCAAAACCCCACCAUGACUACUACUAUGACACCUUUGGACUGAAUAAAGGGAGCAUCUUCUUUUGUCCCAUGGAGAACCUUAAGAGGUUUGCAGAUGACAGGUUUUUGAGAAGCGAGCCAUGAUCAAGGUUGAGACUCAAGAGGCUACAUACCCAAAGUCAGUGAGUAGGAUGGAUAGCAGGGGGAAGGAUGAAAGUCUAAAGGCAGGAGACUAGAUAUGAGACCAUGACAUGAACAGGUGAGAAGCACAGUCUUACACUCACUAAGUCCCUAUGUAGUUUAAAGUCAUUCAUUUCAAUGUCCUGUCUCACAUCAUGAUCAAACCUCUAAAUCUAAUUUAAAAUGCAGGUUUUCCACUGUGUCACCCCAGGAUGUUGCAGGUAGGAAGCCUGCAGUCAGAGAAGAGGGACAUGGUAGAUCUCUUCUUUUUCCUCACCUAUGACUCUCCUCCUCUCCUAAUUGCCAGCCACCUUUCUGACCUCUCCAGGGAUAAAGUGAAAAGAAGAGAAUGAAGUAAGGGAGCCAGAAUGUUCUGUUUUGACUGGUACAUGGAGAUCCAGCACUGCUAUUCUCUAACAUAGCAGAUAUUUAAAGCUGACUUCUUUCCUUUCUCUCGUGGGCUCUUUGGAGACACCACUGUCCCUGCAGUUCUCCUGAGUAGGGCAGAGGUAUCUCUGCUUAAGACAGUCAUUUGCCCUUCCUCAGUUGCAAGGCAUUGGGUGACACCUCCAGCUUCUCUCUAUUGAGGUUCUUUUGCCUCUCCAGGUGGCUCUCCUGGACAAGACGUUACACUGGCUUUCUCUCUCUUGCAUAUUCUCAGUAAACCCUCUUGCAUUCUUUUGCCUUUUUUAUCCCAAAAGAUGGGAGUGCAGGGUCUCCAAACACAGCAAUUUCUGCUAGGCUCCCACAGGCUGCCUCAGUCACUCUCUUGCCCUUUAGGUUUUUCAGAUGUCCUCCAACUAGAGGGGAUGUAUGUGAAGCUUUCCACAUGACCUGAGAGAGCCCUUUCUCAAGGCUUGAGGCAAGAGGCGUGUAUCUCCCAUCCCUCCCCUUAGGGCCCACAGCAUAACAGCCUCCCUUUCCAAAGCUCCUGUCCCUGAGGAGGACCUCUCCUUGUGGUACCCUCAUUUGGUUUAAGAUUAAAAGGCAGCAGGUUCCACCCCUCCAGGGAAAUUGGGAUUGCAUCCAUAGCACAGUUUUCUCGGAAGAAGUCAUUUCCCCAAACCCUCCCCAGAUCUUUGAUUCCUCUCCUUUUCGUACCCUUAAUGUGAGUGAGGAGUUCAAGAGUUGUCAAUCAUCACCUUUGAAAACCUGUCCCAUGGUCUAACUCUGCAUUCUCCAAUACAGUAACCACUAGUCCCAUGUGGCUAUUGAGCAAUUGAAAUGUGGCCAGUCAGGGCUGGGUGUGGUGGCUCACGUCUGUAAUCCCAGCACUCUGGGAGGCUGAGGGGGCAGAUCAUGAGGUCAAGGGAUGGAGACCAUCCUGGCCAACAUGGCAAAACCCCGUCUCUACUAAAAAUACAAAAAUUAGCCAGAUGUGGUGGCACACGCCUGUAGUCCCAGCUACUUGGGAGGCUGAGGCAGGAGAAUUGCUUUAACCUGAGAGGUGGAGGUUGCAGUGAGCCGAGAUUGUGCCACUGCACUCCAGCCUGGUGACAGGGCAAGACUCCAUCUCAAAAAAAAAAAGAAAAAGAAAAAGAAAGAAAUGUGACCAGUUGGAACUGAGAUGGCUUAUAGGUAUAAAAUACACAAUGGCUUCUGAAGAGUAAGUACAAAAGAAGAAUGUAAAAUAAAUAACUCUCUAAUAAUUUUUAAAUGAUUAUGUGUUGAAAUUAUAGUAUUUUGGAAAUACUGGGUUAAAAUAUAUUAUUAAAACUAAUUUUCCUUUUUUUACUUUUAAAAAAAUGGCUACUGGAAAAUUUAAAAUAUAUGGAGCUCUUAGAAAUGACACAAAAAACAUGAUCCACAUAACCAAAGAAAAAAUUGGUAAAUUGGACUUCAAAAUCUAUAAAACUUUUGCUGUGCCAAAGACACUAAGAAGAUCAUUAAGAGGCAAGCUAUAGACAGGAAAAUAUUUUCAAACCACGUGUCUGACAUAGGAUUUGUAUCCAGAAUGUAUAAAGAACUCUCAAAAUGCAAUAAUAAGAAACAGGUAAAGGACUUGAACAGAUACUUCAACAAAGAGGAUAAGAGAGGUCAAGUAAACACAUAAGAAGAUGUUCAACAUCAAUAGUCAUUAGGGGUAUGCAAAAUAAAACCAUGAUGAGAUAAUACUACAUACCUGUAGAAUGGCUAAAAUAAAAAAUAUUAACAAUACCAAGUGCUGGUGAGGAUGAGGAACAUUUGGAAGGCUCAUAAAUUUCUGCUGGGAAUGCAAAAUGGCACAGCCAUUAUGGAAAGCGAUUUGACAGUUUCUUAUGAAGUUAAAUAUACACAUACCAUCUAUACCAGCAACCCUACCCUUGGGCAUUUACCCUAGAGAAGUGAAAACUUAUGUUGACACAAAAACCUGUACCCAAAUGUUCAUAGCAGCUUUUUCUGUGCUAGCCAAAAGCUGGAAACAACUCAAAUGCCCUUCAUUGGGUAAAUGGAUAAACAAACUGUGGUACAUCCACACCACAGAAAACUACUCAGCAGUAAAAAAGGAAAGAAUUAUUGAUUAAACUCAACUGCUUGGCUGAAUCUUAAAGACAUUAUGCUGAAUGAAAGAAAAGCCAAUUGCAAAAGGUUACAUACUGCGUGCUUCCAUUUACUUGACAUUCUUAAGAAGACCAAACUCUGAUGGUGGAAAUCAGAUGAGUGUUGCUAGAGAUGAGUGGUUGGAGUAAGGUGGAAUGCCAAAUGGAUAGUUCAGAGAAAAAGUUUUGGGGUGAUGGAACUGUUCUGUACUCUGUGGUCAUAGUUACACAGAUUUAUUACAUGUGUUAAAAUUCAUAGAACUGAACACUCAAAGAUAGAAAAGUUAAUUUUGCUGUAUAGUUUUUUUUGUUUAUUUAUUCAUUAUUAUUAUACUUAAAGUUUUAGGGUACAUGUGUACAAUGUGCAGGUUAGUUACAUAUGUAUACAUGUGCCAUGCUGGUGCGCUGCACCCACUAACUCGUCAUCUAGCAUUAGGUAUAUCUCCCAAUGCUAUCCCUCCCCCCUCCCCCGACCCCACAACAGUCCCCAGAGUGUGAUGUUCCCCUUCCUGUGUCCAUGUGUUCUCAUUGUUCAAUUCCCACCUAUGAGUGAGAAUAUGCGGUGUUUGGUUUUUUUGUUCUUGUGAUAGUUUACUGAGAAUGAUGAUUUCCAAUUUCAUCCAUGUCCCUACAAAGGACAUGAACUCAUCAUUUUUUAUGGCUGCAUAGUAUUCCAUGGCGUAUAUGUGCCACAUUUUCUUAAUCCAGUCUAUCACUGUUGGACAUUUGGGUUGGUUCCAAGUCUUUGCUAUUGUGAAUAAUGCCACAAUAAACAUACGUGUGCAUGUGAAACUACCAUGAGAGUGAACAGGCAACCUACAAAAUGCGAGAAAAUUUUCACAACCUACUCAUCUGACAAAGGGCUAAUAUCCAGACUCUACAAUGAACUCAAACAAAUUUACAAGAAAAAAACAAACAACCCCAUCAAAAAGUGGGCGAAGGACAUGAACAGACACUUCUCAAAAGAAGACAUUUAUGCAGCCAAAAAACACAUGAAAAAAUGCUCACCAUCACUGGCCAUCAGAGAAAUGCAAAUCAAAACCACAAUGAGAUACCAUCUCACACCAGUUAGAAUGGCAAUCAUUAAAAAGUCAGGAAACAACAGGUGCUGGAGAGGAUGUGGAGAAAUAGGAACACUUUUACACUGUUGGUGGGACUGUAAACUAGUUCAACCAUUGUGGAAGUCAGUGUGGCGAUUCCUCAGGGAUCUAGAACUAGAAAUACCAUUUGACCCAGCCAUCCCAUUACUGGGUAUAUACCCAAAGGACUAUAAAUCAUACUGCUAUAAAGACACAUGCACAUGUAUGUUUACUGCUGUAUAAUUUUUUAAAUUUUAUUUUGUAAAUUUUUCAAAUUUCAUUUGCGGCUAGUAUUAUAUACCUAUCGGACCAUGCUGGUCUAGCUCCAUUUUUAGAAUGUCCUGUUUGCUUGACUUAAAUCCGAGCAGGAACUUUCAUCCUGACACCUGCUCCCCUUCUAUCUCUGCACUUUUCACAAUGGCAAUAUAAUUUCUUGUUGAGUUGUCCAUCCCCAGUACUGGACUGUGGGCACUCUGUGGACAGGAAUAUGUUCUGUCUUAUCUCUGUGCUCAGUCAGUGAGACAGAAUAGGGCUUAGUCAUAUUUGUUGAAUGAAUCAAUGAAUCAAUCAAUCAACAGAAUACACGUUUGAACAUUUGGAAAAGUAAGAUAAAAUAUUAAAUGUGCUGCUUUUUGAACCCCUCUCAUCCUCAUCCUGAUGAGGGUGAGAUCACAGGGUCCCAGGCUUGGCCCAGGAUCCUUAAGAGCUGAGGCUGGGGGUGAGAGUGGGCCUGCCCAGCCUUCAGCCAUAGGGCACAGGGGAAAGGGGAAUCCAUGUCCAAGUCCAAGGCAAAGGCAGCCAGAAAGCUCACCAACGAGGUGCAAGAGAAGCUGUAAUGGAACCUGGAGCCAUGGAGGAGCCAGUGAGAGGAGGCAAGAUGGUCACACAGCACUGGAAGGCAGGGUCUGGGAGCGAAACCUUCAGGGAGGGAAGGGGUCUUUAGUCCACAUCAUCAGCCAGCAUUACUAAUCCCACCGUUUAUUAUUCUUUGGGAGGUUGAUAUACCAAAGCAAAUGGGGGAAAUGUAAUGUGUGCUGUCACAGAUACAAAGUGGCCAUGUUUUCAGCCUGGCACAUUUUCCAAGGCAAAUGAAAAUUGUUAUGAAAACAAUUUAUACCCAGCAGACAUGGAUGAUUGCCCAUGAUGACCUUUUGCCAGAGAAAAUGAGUAUGAUAAAGAAAAAAUGUGAGCUCAUUAGGAUAAAUUAGAAAAAGCAAAUGAUUGCUCUUAAAUUAUGGAAAUUCCAAGACUGGUGACUCUCUCUGUCCUUUUAGGACAUAAAAACAAUAAAACAUAAAAAGAAAUUGUUUAUUCAGAAAAAAAGUGUUAUAGAAUUUGUGUGAAUAGAUGCAGUUUUGUUUCUUGGGAGGUUUUAGAAUAGAGGUUUUUAGUAAACUAAAUGAAAUUUAAUUGACUUAUUAACUGUGCUGUGAAUUCCUCCAUAAAUCUAGUAACAACUAAAGGAAGAAGGAAAAAGCAUUGAGAGGGGGCAAAAUUAACUUCACUUUCUAUAAAUGCUAUCAAGGAAUAUUUCCACCACUGCAACAUGAUAGAAUUUGGGGCAUAAUGUUGGUGCUUCCACUAAAAAAAAAUAAUAAAAGGGAUUUGCAGAGUUGCAGAUGUAAGGUGAGGGAACAGAGGGGUAAAGACAUCACUCAGGAAAGCUAUAACAUCCUCCUACUUCCCUGAUAGUCACCCACAGGCAUAUAGAGCUUUACAGUUUCUAAAACUGCAUUUUCAUAUACAUGAUCUCCUCUAUUCUCACAGCAACCCCUUUUAUUCAUGUAUGCCCUCAUUGCACAAGUGAGGAAAGUGAGAUUGGGCAAAAUUAAGUGGUUCAUCAGGUAGUAAAAGCUACAGGCAGGAUGAGAAUCCAAGACUAUCCAUGCUCUCCCAAGCAAUCUUUUGCCCCCACUCUAUCUUAGGUACCCUUGAUGCAUCAGAACUAGAGUUACAGGAUUCAUGUAUUUCUCUGCAGGAAAAAGCAGGUGGGCGGCAAGGGACAGAAGGAGGGGAGGAAAAGAAGCCUUUUCCAUUCAAAUCCAUCAGGGCUCUUAAAACAGUACUCAGCAAAGAAAUAUGUAUUGGAAAGGAUGGCCUAACUCCCACAUCAGACAACUCCAAAAUCUCAGUGUUUAAAUACCAGGAAGGUUUAUUUCUCUUUCAUGAUAGUGUUCAGUGCAGAUCUGUGGGUGGGACUCUGCUCCAUGCAAUCAUUCAGGGACUCAAGCUCCUUUCAUCUAGUUACUCCAUCGUCUCUUAGGGACUCAGAGUCCUCCACUCGAUUGCUGAAAUAGCCAGAAAACAAGGGAGAAGGGGAACAUAAAGGGUCUCUUGAGGGGCCAAGCCCAGAAGAGGUAGAGUCACUUCUGCCCAUGUUCAUCAGCAUGAGUCACAUGGUCCUACAUGCCAGGGAAAUAUAGGGUGUCAUGGAAGGAGGGGAAAACGCUGAUGCUGAUGCUGAUGGAGAAUUCGAAGUCUUGCCAUAAAUUUUUUAAGUGCUUCUUUGAGUAUGAAUUAUUUUCCCAAGUGCCUUGGAAGAAUAUUUCUGUGAGCCCCUAGCCAGCCCCCCAUACCUGUGGUUAUUCCCCAAGUGGGACCACCUGACUACACAGGGCUAGACAUAGAACUUUUAUUUUUUCAAGUUAGAGGAAGUGGACCUUUCAGGCUUAUAGAGCAAAAUCUCUCUAUAUAUUUUCUUCCAACAUAGCUGAGUAAAAGGGCAAACAGAAAUUUGAAAGCAAUGAUUGCUUCCUUUGUCGGGGAGAAGGAUACCCACUGAGUUGGGAACAUAUAUGAAUUCUGAUUUGCAAUCAUUUCCACUAUUUAUGAGGUCACUGGACUUACUCCUGCUGAGUCCAAUUUACAAAGAGCUUUGGUUGGAUCAGGGAAAGGAAUAUUAGAAUCCUGUUGACUUGGUGAUGGCCAGAGUACUAUGGAUACCAAAUGCAAGAAAAGUAUCAAUAAACUUCAAGGAAGCAAAAUCCUCAACAUCAGCUCUGACAUGCCACAUCCAAAAGUGUACAAAGAUAUACGUUUCCAGGGAAACUAUUGAUGUUGGGUGCACCAACAUUGCUAUUUGACUACACACCCCAGAAGCAAGUGGGGGGAUUUUCCAAAUAAAAAACUUGUUAGAAAAACAUCCAAAAUGCCUAAGAUAAGCAAAAGAGUUUUCCUUACAUCAUCAGCAUAUUCCACUCCCAAGGCAAUUGUAGGAUGCUGAUGCUGUCUGAUCAUUGGUGUCUCUGCUUCUUACCCCUCUCUCAAGUUCUAACCCAAAAUAUCCAACAUUCUCCUAAAUGUCCCAUAGGCACAUCUAUUUCAGCAUAUUCACAUCCGAACUCAUCCUCACCAACCCAGCCCCAUCCCCCAUGGCUGCUCCAUCACCUUCCUCACCCUCUCAAUAAACGAUGCCACCACCACAUGAUCACCUGAGCCACUGACCUAAGAAUGAAAAAUGCCUUCCUCUCCUUCAACACUGCUCCAGUCAAGUUCAGCCAAUUCCACCUCCUACAUGUGUCUCAAAUCUGUUCUCUCUUCUCUAUCCCCACUGCCACAGUCUUCCUGGGUGAGAGUACUCUCUCCAAGCUGGAUUUUCUAACGGGAAACUGCCAUUCCACCCCACCCACCCUACUGCUCAGCAGCAACCACUCAGUGUGUUAGUAAGGCUGCUUCUCAUUCUGUCCUCUGAAGCCUCACAGGUACAAUCUCCCAGUCAUUCUUCCCUAAGUCCACUCAUCCUGUGCUUUUGCAACAGCAGGUGACUUGCAGUUCUCCUUUCUCCUGACUUUGAUAGUUGCUAUUGUCUCUGCUUCAAAUGCUGCCCCAUUUCCCCACCCUUCCUCUAUGUAGCUAACACCCACCUGUCCUUCGGUACUGAGGUCAGCUCACUUGGAAGCCUCGCUUGACCCCCCAGACUCAUGUACAACCUGCUCUUCUGAAGCUCGUCAGUUCUGUGCUUGCCUCUAUGAUAGCUCUUGGGAUGCAUGGGGUCACCAGUGACCUUCUUCCUUCCCACCACCCUCCCCAUACCAUAAUCUGUUAGCUCCUUGAAGCCAGAGACACUGUUGUCUCAGCUCUCUGGUCACCAGCACAAUGUCUAGGAAAAAAGGAGUCACUCGGUAAAUGCUUAGUUGCUGAAGGAGCACAUGAAUUUGUAAAUAAAUUACGUAGAAGCAUAAAACCCUGUUCAAAUGGAUUCAUCCAUCAUGUGAGAAGGGAGGGUGAGAAGUCAAUCUUGAGGCAUGGACCUCUCAGAUGAAUCAAACAAUCGGGACAAUUCAGAGUCACCACGUGCCCAAGAGAUGUGGAUUAUCAGAGAAAUAAAACAUAGUCACUCAGUGCACAAACCAAACACUCAGUCACGCUUCGAGUACAACGCUUUGAAAAAGAUUCUGUGAAAAUACAAAGCAGAUGUUGUCACUGGUGCCAUAGUCAAACAGGAUAAACCCGGAGGGGAAAACAAAAUCCUUUGUGGAAACGUCUCUUGUAGUUGGGUUUGCUUAAUACCAAGGAUCAGAGACUCACACAAACUGGGGUGAAUAAAAAGGUGAUGUGCGGUUUGUUUGUUUGUUUGUUUGUUGUUAUUGUUUCUAAUGAUGACAAAGUAAGGAUAUGCAAAAACGAGAAACACAGCUCUGGACAGAGGCCACAUAGAUGCAGAAGCAGCUCUGCCGCUUUCCAGCUGUGACACCAAGUGAGCCUUGUGUCCUCUAGUCUACAGUGGGGUGAGACUAGAACCUACCAUAGUGUUGUCAUGAGCAUGAUAGAAGAUUAUGCAGGUAAAGGCUUAGCAUGUUUGUGGCACAUAAAUUUUAUUUUUAUUCAAGAGAAUGUUCUAGAACUCUCUCGGAGGAAAGACAGUGAGGACUCCCAGGAGCUGGUAUCUCUCCAUCUCACCUUGUUGGCAGCUCUGCGCCAUUUACCUCCCUGCCCAAGCUGGCUCCUUCUAUUCACAGUGUCUGCUCCCUCACAUGUCAGCUUGUUCAGGGCUCUGACCCUCCUAGGUUUCCCAGCUCAGCAGCCCAGGCAGGUUCAUUCUCCCUGAGCAUGAAUACUUUAUUCCUGGGAGAAAGACAAUGCUUGAAACAGCUAGAGAUCAAGUGUACAUACCAGGGCCAACCAGCUGUGGCCGAGGGAGAGGAAGAAGAAGGAGAGGUGAAAGAACUCUUCUUAUCUCUCAUUACCAUAAGUUUUAGGUUAUCUUUCAUUGCCAUGAGUUUUAGGAUCAAACAAGCCUGGGUUUGAAUGCCAACCCCACCAUUUAUUAACUGGGUGAGCUUGGGCACACUAUUUAACUUCUUUGAGUCUUCAAGUCCUAUUGUUAAGUGAAGAUAAUCCUGUAUCUUUUCACUUGUAGCAUUCUAAAAUUGGGAUGUGUCUUACAAUUGAUGCAUGUAUUUAAUGUGAUAGUGUCCCCCACCUCCCAAAAAAUUAAUAAACGCAUGGUGUGUCUUAGAAUCAAGGAAUUAUAUAACCAAGACCAGCUGCAUAGGAUGAUGAUGCAGACUGUAUGAGCCGAUGCAAGUAAAUGCUUAACAAAGUGUCUGGCAUAUAGAGAAAUCUCAGUGAAAGACCUCCAUGUUAUUACACACAGGGCACUAAGACCCUCUCCUAGUAAGCAGAAGCCUGAGUAGAAGAGGCUACUUUUGCAAGUGUAUGUGUCCAGGAAGGUGGUGACUGGCAUCUCUAACACAGUAUCAACCAGGAAGAAAUCCAGUAGCUUGAGAAUUAGCUAAGAAGUAACUACGAAUUCAUGUAUAAAGCCUGCUGGAAGCAGGAUGUGCUAAGAACACUGGGGCUAACAGAGCAGUGCUGGAAACUAGCCUAAAGAGAACUUGACUCAUUGUGUGACCUUGGAUAAGUGCCUUGGUUGUUCAUGUGCUUCAAGAGCUGGGAUAAGAAAGCUAAAGUAGGCUGGGCACGAUGGCUCACACCUGUAAUUCCAGCACUUCGGGAGGCCACUGCAGGCAAAUCAGGAUUUCGAGACCAGCCUGGCCAAAAUGGCAAAACCCUGUCUCUACUAAAAAAAAUACAAAAAUUAGCUGGGUGUGGUGGCACACACCUGUAGUCCUAACCACUCGGGAGGCUGAGGAAUGAGAAUCGCUUGAACUGGAAGGCAGAGGUUGCAGUAAGCUAAGAUCGCACCACUACACUCCAGCCUGGGUGAUGGAGUGAGACUUUGUCUCAAAAAACAAUAAAAGGAAAGCUAAAGUAACAUUACCUACAAUGGCAAAUGCUGAUAUGAAAAUGUGUUCAUUUUUGGCACUGCUUAUUUUGAUAAAUGCAGCUGGACCAAUGAACAGUGAGCAAUAUUGGGAAUGUGCGAGCCAACAGGUUCCCCUAGAAGCAGGCCCAGGAAAGAAAUGUGAGUGCAUGUGGUUUAUCUGGGAGACGAAGGAAACACUGGCAGACAACUGGGGAAAAUAGAGCAGGUGCAUUAUUGUGCCAGUUGCAGCAGGCAACAGAGCCUCCUUCCACUAAGGAAACUCAGUGGUCAAAGCAGACGUGUACCCAGAGUUAUCCCAUCCCCAGCGAGCAAGGAGAUGGGGGCAUUUAUUUAGUAUUUCCAUUCUUUGACAUAACCAUAUCUCUUCAAGCUCAAUAUGUUAGUCUAGGUCCAAUCAGGAAAGAAAAAACACACAGUAAUUUGAACAGAGAAAGCUUAAUAUGAGAAUUAGUAACCAUAACAGGAUUUGUUAAGGAUAAGUAAAAAUAUAACAGGAUUAGCAAAAGAUAAGUAAAAAGAACUCUAAAGAACACAGGAAUAGCACAAAUAAGGAUCAGCCACUACUUCCCCAAGGGCUGAGAUAGAGCAUCUAAAGAAGAGCUCCCAACCCUCGUGCUGAGAUCCAGACCUUGUUGGGGAGGGUCUAGGUGGGUUCCAUGCAGAGGCAGAAGGAAUGGGCUGCUUUCCAACUCUGUGCUAUGUUUUGGACCUAGAACUUCAAAGUGCAUAACAAUAAUUUUCUUAAAAUUGUGUUCAUGAUUAUCUUGCCAUGGAACACAAAAAGAGAAAAGUGAAUACUGGGCUUGUUCAUGUGCUCCAAGAGCUGGGAUAAGAAGGCUCAAGUAACUUUACCCACAAUGGCAAAUGCUGAUAUGAAAGCAUGUUCAUUUCUGGCAUUGCUAUACUUUGAUGUACUAAGAUAAAUGCAGCUGGACCAAUGAGCGGUAAGCUCUCACUUCUGCUAAAGCAACAUUGGGAGUGUGUGAGCCAAUAGGAGAUAAACCUCCCCUUUUAAUGUAGCCAUGUUGGAAGAGGUGACCCUUGAGGAACCAGUGCCCACGUCUGACUUCAAGAGCAAGGGAAUACUUCAAAUGAAAUGAGACCUGGACAUAGGCCAGAACAUAGGAUGCAUGAGUGGCCUGCUCAUUUAGGUGACAUUUUAAGACUCAAUUCAAUUGAUCAGUAUUAAGAGUAAGUCAUCUCCCUUUGCCUCACAUUUCCGACUCAGCUCAGAAGGGGACUCAUCUAGCAACACUCCACCUCCUCUCUACAUCCCUGCACUUAAUUCUCUUGAUGUGGCAGAGAUGGUUGUCCUGACUGCCAAGCCUAGACAUUCACUGGACCACAUUUUAUUAGUGGGGACAGUUUCUACAUUUAAUGGCAAGAAGUAGGACAUCCUCUUCCCCUUGCACAGUGGGCUCUUUUCUGCUUCCUGGGCAGGAGAAGCUCUUCUCUAAGCUCUCUCUAUUCUACCCAUGACUGAGGGAAUGAAGCAGAGUCCUCAUGAUCCCUGUUGGCUGCAGAAAUAGAGGGGCGGGGGGAUCCUGCUUUAUGCUCUACCACGUAGGUCUGUUUGUUCCUAAGGCUCAGUCACGUGUCUCUUUUUUGGAUUUCAAAAAACAUCUCAAUGUCCAUAUGAUAAACCCUCAUUGUUUGCUAGCCCCAACAGAGUUCAUGAGACUUGCAUUGGUCCUAAUUAACAUAAAGAAAACAAGAAAUGAGCAACCUCAGCACAAACAGACCAAUGAUAAGAAGACCCUGCUUCUGAUAAAAGAAAAAGGAGCUGGGGAUGGGGCAGGGCAGCUCACUGGGGUCGUCCAGCAGGUCUGAGCAAUCAUAUGGCCUUUUAUCUUUCAGAGUUCCAGUCACAACCAGAGCCCGCUGGGAUGCAUAUCUUACUUGGCUGGGGAACACUUCGAGACCUGCCUGAAUUCUUGGCUCCCUGAAUUAACAAAUUCCUGAAGUCAGAUGCCAAAAAGUAAUUUAGCUGUGGUCCAAAAGCAGCCACCUUCAUCUCAGAGGAAGGAAGCCUGCUCUUGAAAGUAGCUUCCCUAAGCUCAGGAAUGGAAACUGGAAGGACAGGAUAUCAGCCCUGUCUUCCCAUCACACCCCAGAUAAACAGGCCUCUGCCCCAAGAUGGUGCAGUUAUGUUGCUUAAUUCCAUCAGCCCAUUGGGCAGGUUGGGAUGAGACGUUUCUCAGCUGCCCUAUUCCUCUUGCUAACUCUGAGGGAGGCUGCCUGUUAGCUCUCCCUCUAACUCUUCCUGCCCUAAAGGCACAUGCUCACCCCCUGCACCAUCCUGGUGUCCCUCUGCACUACACUCACCUUCUUCAGCAUAAAAAUGAAACCCCCCAAACUAGUUAAUGUCCACUCAGCCUUCAUGUUGAAAGUGACUUCCUGGUGAAGCUCUCUCUGACUCUCCCAACCUACACGGUUUCCCAUCACAUGUUCUCGUGGCUCCCUUUGCCUCUAUUCUACAGCCAGUCACCACCUGUGAUUGAAUAUUUGGGUGGAUGACUGAUGCCCACCUACCCCUCUGGACUGUUAGCUUCAUAGUGACAGAGACGCGUCUGUUUUGCUCACUACUUAUUUCACAUACCUGAAUUCAGGAGGCAUGCACUUCGGCCCAUUUGGGCUACUAUAACAAAAUACAUUAGACUGGGUAAUCUGUAAACAACAGAAAUGUAUUGCUCACAGUUUCAGGGGUUAGAAAGCCCAAGAUCAAGGCGUCAACAGAUUUGCUGUCUGGUGAAGGCCUGUUCCCCUGUUCCUCAUAGACAGCAACUUCUAUGUGUUCUCACAUGGCAGAAGAGCAAAAAGGGGCUAGCAAGCUCCCUUAGGCCUCUUUUAUAAGGGCACUAAUCCCAUUCAUGAAGUCAAAGCCUUCAUGGCCUUAUCUCCUCCCAAAGGCCCCACCUUUCCAUACUAUUGCAUUAAAAAUUAGGUUUCAACAUACAGAUUUUGGGAGGAUGCAAACACUCAGACCAUAGCAGCAUGUCAUGGAUAGUUGAGGCCAGGUGUAGUGGCUCACACCUGUAAUCGCAGCGCUUUUCCAGGCCAAAGUCGGCAGAACACUUGAAGUCAGGUGUUCGAGACCAGCCUGGCCAACAUGGUGAAACCCCAUCCCUACUAAAAAUACAGAAAUUAACCAGGCAUGGUGGCACAUGCCUGUAGUCUCAGCUACUUGAGAGGCUGAGGCAUGAGAAUCGCUUGAACCCAGGAGGCGGAGGUUGCAGUGAGCCAAGAUCGCACCACUGCACUCCAGCCUGGAUGACAGAGCGAGACUCUGUGUCAAUAAAUAAAUAAAUAAAUAAAUAGUUGAAUAUAUGCAGAGUAGUUAAAGCUCUGCAAUCAGACUGGCUGGGCUUGGACCCAGAUCCGGGGGGGGGAAAAUGUGGAAUAAUAAUGGUUGGAAGGACUAAAUGAAAGCAUUUACAAUAGCACUCAACACACAGUCGGUACUCAAUAAAUGUUUGUGAAUAUUAGUAUUGUUGCCAUUAGUCCUGUCCGUGUUGGCAGGAUGGGUGAGGAGCAUAUGUAGACGCUGUUCAGUUGGGGUCACUGAUGUAUGUGUGUGUACUGGGGUGUUGGAACGUGGACACUGCCUCCAUGAGUGCCAUUCAAACAGAAGGCAUGGAAAGGCACAGGCUCAUAUUUUGGAGAAAGGUCAGUUUAUCAAUCUUGCAGCUGGCCAGAGCAUGUUCUCUCCAGGGCAUGCUGACUUUGGAAUUGCCUCUCAUUGAUAUUUCAUGGCCAGAUAAGUGGCUGGGGAUGAAUUGCAUCAUGAGAAUGUUGUCAUCAAAUUGUCACCUUAAGGUAAGCCAUGUUGGGAACAACGGGGUGAGAAUACUUAAAUGGAUGUCUCUAUGCCACCUGUGAUCCUAGGUCAAAGUGAGAGAAUGAUGCCCAUCAGUGAGGGCCACAGUGGUUUCCAAAUGUGUUACAGUAACAGAGACCUUUUACCAGAAGAGCAUCCUACAGAAGACCCAGGACAUAAAACCAAAGGAGUGGAAUAGCUUUGGUUGAACCAGGUGCUCAGGGCCUCAUCUCUCAGCCCCACUCCCAGCCCUCAGGGUUCAACUGGACACUUCCAACACUGGAAGUGAAAAUUCAUGUUUGACUUCCUUUCCAUAGGACACGAGAGGGUGUCCUGUCAGCAGUGAGCUUCAAAACUCUCUGGAAAGGGACAUGGUCCCUGCUGAGUGCACCUCUCAUCCUCCCACAGCUUCUCUCUUCUCCUGUACGAGGCCCCGGGUGCUUCUCCACCCACCAGAGCUGAUCUGGGGCUGUCCUGGGCUUUGGUAGAGAUGGAGCCACAUCCACAGUGGCCAGGCCAAUUACUGCUUUGUUGCGUGUGACCUGUGCCGUCACACAGGGCCUGGCUCUUAGAAGGGCUUAUUCUUAGUUUAAUGCUCUGCUGUCAUUGUCGUGAAAUUCAUACUGAUUUUUAAACAAGGACUUCCACAUUUUUAUUUUGCUCUGAGCCCUGCUAAUAAUGUGGCUAGCCCAGACACUUUGUAGGCAUGGUCUUUCCCUCUGAGCUUUUACCUUUCAAGCUGAUUUGGGGAGCUGGGGAUGGGGCAGGGGCAGCUCACUGGGGUCAUCCAACAGGUCUGAGCAAUCAUAUGGCCUAAAGCAGACUCGUGGGCCUUGAAGACAGACAGAUACUGUUCUUGGUUCCUAGGCCACCUACCAGCUAUGUGAACACAGGCAAGUGACUUUUCCUCUCUCAGUCUUAGUUUUCUCAUCGGUCAAAUGGAGACAACAUUCCCCUCUCCCCACACUGCUGUGGGAUCCAUUGGGAUACCAGAUGGCUCCCAGUGUUUUUGCCACCACUGAUUUCCUCUCCCUGUGCCUCAUCCUCAAAGGUUUCCUUUAGAGAUUCCUGGUGCCAUCUAUCACACUAGCCACUGCUCCAGGCUCUGCUUACCAAUGUGCAGACAUACUAGGCUAAGCACACAAGCACAGGAGAGGAGGCUGCUUUCAGAAAGGCUUCCCUUCCAGCGGCUUCUUCCUGCUGGCCAGCCCAUCCACCACAAGAUCAGAGUGACCUUUCAAAAUCAUGAUGAAUUUCCAGCUUCCUCCAGGGUUAAGGCUAAAGUCCUUGAGCACAGUAUUCCAGUCUUAUCAAGUUGAGCCUCACUUUCCUCUCCAACCUCAUCUCCCUCCUAUCGUCACCAGCACACAGCCUAGUGAACUUCUCAGGAAACAUAACUCAUUUUUUUCAUACCCCCAGACUUUUGUUCAUGCUGGUACUUUUCCUAAGACGCUCUCCCUGCAACUCUAUCCUCAAAAACAUUCUCCUUGAAGAUGCAACCCCUCUCUGAAACACUUCCUGCUUCUCCCUCCACUGCCCACUUUGUCCACUGUGCUCCCAGGGGGUCUUGCACUCCCCUCACUAGUAGCACUAGUCAUCAUGAGUCUUAAAGGACUGUUUAUGUAUCUAUUACCAUGGAAACAUGGUUCAGGGCAUGGGCUCUGGAGACAAACUACCAAGAUUCAAAUCCCGGCUCCCCCAGUUCCCAGCUACAUGACUUCAGCAAGUUCCCUAACCAAUCCAUGCUUUGAUUUCCUCAUCUGCACUAUGGGGAUGGUAAGAGCACCCACUUCCUAGGGUUGCUGUGGAGAGUGGAUGAGUUCAUAAACUCACAAGCACUCAGUAAAUUUCAGUUAUGGUGAUUAUCCCUCAAUCAACAUCCACACACCUCCAACUACAUGCAGUCACUGUGCAAGAAGCUGGGGAUAGGGGAUACAGUGGGAGACAAGACAUACAUCAUCGCUGCCCCCACUGAGUUCCCUGUCUUAUAGUUGUGACAGUUUUCAAACAAAUGGCCACAGAUUCUUUGAAUUAUUCCCAUUGAGAGGUGGGAGCAAUGUCCCUCUCCUUGAAUCUGGGAGGUCCUGGGAGUGCUUCAACCAAUAGAGUAUCAUAAGAGUGUUGCUAUAUAACUUCCAAGACUAGGUCAUCAAAGGUCACACAGCUUCUGCCUGGUUCUCUUCAUAAGCUCCUCCUGCACCAUCCACCAUGGGAGAAGUCCAACCACUUGGAGACCAUCAUGCUGGAGAGGCCAUGCAUCAGGGCUCCGCUAAACAUCCCUGGCUGUGUUCCCAGCUGAUAGCCAGCAUCAACUGCCAGCCACAUGAGGAAGCUUCUUGGGUGUCCAGCCUAGCCAAACCUUCAGGCAAUGCCAGCCCCAGUUGAGAACUGAUUGUGAGAUUAAAACAGUUGUUGUUUUAUGCCACUAAAAUUCAAGGUAGAGGUGCAGCAAUUGCUACUGCAAUGUGGUCUCACUUUGUCAUGGGCUCCUUGAGGGCAGAAGUUGUAUUUUAUUUAUCUGUACCUCUAGUGUAUAUACUGUGUCUGUCCCCCAUGUGCUGAUAAUACCCCCAUGUACACGUUAUGAUAGAGGAACCCCAGAAGGCUAUUACAGGUAAAUCUGCAAGUAAGAGGCAGAUAGAGAUCAUUUAAAGGUGUUCAUAUAUACACUCCUUGGAACUGGGCUCUAUUCUUCCAGGAAAACCUGCUUAGUCAAGAAAUUUGAUUACAGUAAAUUGCCACACGUCAGGUGAGGUAGGCAGAAUAAUGCCCCCCAAGAUAUCCAUGUCUUAAUUUCAGAAUCUGUAAACAUGUUAUGUUAAAUGGCAAAGAGGAAUUAAGGAAGCAGAUGGAAUUAAGGUUGCCAAUCAGCAGACAGAUAAUCCCGAAUUAUCCAGGUGGGCCUCACAUAUUCUAAAGAGUCUGUAAAAGUGGAAGAAGAAGAAAAGAAAGUCAGAAGAUGUUAUUUGGAGGAAUGGUCAGAUAGAUGCAACGUUGCUGACUUUAAGCAUGGAAGAAGGGGCCAUGACUCAAGGAAUGUGAGUGACCUCUAGAAGCCGGAAAAGGCAAGGAAAUUACUUUCCCCUGGAGCCUCCAGAAAGAAAUGCAGCCUGGUCAACAACGUUAUUUUGGCCCAGUGAGCUCUGCACCAGACUUCUAACCUACAGAUCUGUAAGAUAAGUGUGUGCUGUUUAAGACCACUGAGUUUGUGGUAACUUGUUACAGCAACAGUGUGUUAAAAAACUAACAAACCACCUCUAUACCAAUGUUUUGAUUCACCUUUCUCCAUUCAACUCCAUAAGGGUCUCCAUUCUUUAAAAACAGGCCUGGGUAGGCGCAGUGGCUCAUGCCUGUAAUCCUAGCACUUUGAGAGACUGAGGCGGGAGGAUCCCUUGAGCCCAGGAGUUUGAGACCAGCCUGAGCAACACAGCAAGACGCCAUCUGUACAACAAAAUUUUAAAAUUACCUGAGGAUGGUGGCACGCACCUGUAGUCUUAGCCACUUGGGAGGCUGAAGCAGGAAGAUUGUUUAAACCCAGGAGUUCGAGGUUGCAGUGAGCCAUAAUUGUGCCACUGCAUUCCAGCCUGGGCAACAGAUCAAGACCCUGUCUCAAAAAAAAAAUAAUAAAUAGAAUAAAAUAAAAUAAAAACAAGCCUCUUUCCUCUUCACUUCUGCCUGCCUCCCCACAACUCCAUACAUGUUAAUUCCAUGCUUUGCACUGGACAGGUGAGAGCAAAUAUUUGCUGCAUCAAUGAAUACCCUUAUUAGCCAAGAUUUUGGAAUACCCUGGAUUCUAGAAUGUAGUUAAUACCAAAAUAUUCAGAACAUUCUAGGGUGUUUCUCUGAUGAUUCAGAAGAAUCUUUUGUAAUUGCAACCCAGAGGUCAUAAUCACAGGAAACAGUGUGCAAACAUCCCCCGCAGCCCCCUCAACCCCCCCCCCAUUUGCUCUCCAUGGUCCUGAAUGUUCUCAGGAACCUAAGAACAACAGGACGUUGUUGCUGACUGGGGGCAAUGGAAGCAGCUUCCCAGGAGCUUAGGAGCUGGGCAGUCUAGUUCUAGCUCUGCCACUUCCUGGCUUUAUGGCCAUGGGUAAGUUCCUAGCUCUCAGAUAAAAUGAAGGGCUUGGACAGUGUUAUCUCCAAAGGGCUUUCUGCUGUCAGCAUUUCUGGUAACUCCUUUCUGGCAUUUGCCAGAAAUAUCUGGCGUUUUAUAAACACUCAAAAAAUUAGACCCGCAUACUGGCCCUUUUGUUGAUGACUGACACAUGUGGUAUUUGGGUUUCAAUGUUGCCUCCUAAGGACGAAUUGUAGGGAAAUAUACAGUCCUUUUUGGAAAUAUGGCCUCAUAACUUAGUUUCUUGUCCUGUGGGGGAGGCCUGCAUAUUGGAGGAAGGAGCCAUAGGCCCCAGGGAGUCAUGAGCACACAGGUGCAAUGGAGACAGAAAGCCACAGGCAGUGGAAGGCUGAGUGUUAUCACUAAUGCUUCAGAAUGGGACACCAACCUGGAGGCCGUGGUUUAUAUCCUUGUCUACUUCUUACUCUGGGCACAUCAUGCCCAUCUCUGAGAUUGCUUCUUUUUAAUAAUAAUAAUAAUUAUUAUUAUUAUUAUUAUAAAAUAUAUCAUACAAAAGAAGGUUUAAGACACACAUGUACUGUCUGAAGAAUAAUCAUGAAAUGAAAGUCCAUGUACCCACAACCCUGGUGGAGAAAUAGAAUACUGGCCAUGUCUCAGAAGCUUCCUCUGUCCUGCUCCCCAAUCUCAUACCCUUUCCUGUCAAUCCCGCCCCACCCUAUGGUAACCACUACCCUCAGUUUUGUUUUAACCAUUCCUUAGACUUUCUGUAUAGUCUUACCUUACCUGUAUGGAUCCCUGAACAAAAUAUUAUUUUACUUACCUGUCAAUGAAUUUUCUAUACAUGGAAUCACACUAUAGAUAUUCUCCUAUGACUGCCUACUUUCACUCAAAAUGGAGUGAAAUUCAUCCUAGCUGAUACACAUAGUACUAAUAUAUUCAUUUUUACUUCUAAAUAGGAUUCCACUAUAUAAGUUAACACAAUUUCUUUAUCCAUUAUUCUGUACAGAGGCAUUUUGGCUAUGUAGAAAUGCCUUUGUUACUAUAGAAAAUGAUACUAUGAACUUUUUUUUGAGAUAGCAUCUCACUUGUUGCUCAGGCUGAGUGCAGUGGCACAGUCUCAGGUCACUGAAGCCUCCACCUCCUGAACUCAAGUGAUCCUCCCAUCUCAGCCUCCUGGGUAGCUGGGACUACAAGCACCCACCACCAUGCUCCACUAAUUUUUCUAUUUUUCUGUAAAGGCAGAGUUUCGCCAUGUUACCCAGGCUGGUCUCAAAUUCCUGGGCUCAAGCAAUCCACCCACCUCGGCUUCCCAAAGUGCUGGGAUUAUGGGCAUGAGUCACCACAACUGGCCAACCAUGAACAUUUUUGUACACAUCUUCUGGUACCCACAUAUAAGACACCCUUUAGAGUAUAUUCUGUUAAUGGAAUUGUUGGCUCAUUUCCAUUAAUAUUCUGUUAAUGGAAUUGCUGGCUCAUAGCAUAUGUGUGUACGUUCAACUUUGCAGACAAUUCCAAAAAGUUUUCCGAAAUGGUUGUACAAAUGUACACACCCUACAGUAGUAGAUGAGAGUUUCUGUUACUCCAUAUUCCUCCUAGUGCUUGGUAUUGCCAUCUUUUCCAUUUUCAGCAAUCUGAUGGACAUAUAAUGGUAUCUCGCUGUGGUUUUAAUGUGUAAUUUCCUGAUUGUCAGUGAAAUUGAGCAUCUUUUCAUGUGUUUCUUCCCCAUUUGUGUUUCCUCUUCUGUAAAAUACCUGCAUAUGUCUUUUGCCCACUAUUUUAUUACAAAUAUAUUGUACUUACACAUUUGCGGUCAUUCUUUAUAUAUUCUGGAUAUUAAUCCUUAGUUGAUUAUAUAUGUUACAAAUAUCUCCUCCUAGGGUGUGGCUUGUCUUUUCACUCUACAGUGUCUUGGGAGGAACAAGUUCUUAAUUCUAAUAGGGUCAAAUUUAUUGAACUUUUUCUUUAUAGUGUGCAUGUUUCAUGACCUCAAGGUUAUGAAGGUAUGCUCACAUAUUGUGUCAUAAAAGUUUUCUAGGUUAGGCGUGGUGGCUCACACCUGUAAUCCCAGCACUUUGGGAGGCUGCGGCAGGCAAAUCUCUUGAGGUCAGGAGUUAGAGACCAGCCUGGCCAAUGUGGUAAAACCCCGUCUCUACUAAAAAUACAAAAAUUAGCCGGGCAUGCUGGCGUGCACCUAUAGUCCCAGCUACUCGAGAGGCUGAGGCAUGAGAAUGGCUUUAACCUGGAAGGUGGAGGUUGCAAUGAGCUAAGAUUGUGCCACUGCAUUCCAGCCUGGACAACAGAGUGAGAGAGUGUCCCCCGCCAAAAAAAAAAAAAAAAAAAAAAAGUUUUCUAGUUUUUCCCAUUAUUUUUAGUUUUUUAACUCACAUGAAAAUUAUCUUUGUGUAGAUCAUGAGGUAAGAACCAAAUUCCUUUUUUUUUUUUUUCGGUAUAGAUAACUAAUUUUCCCAGCACUAUCAAUUGACUAUUCCAUUCCUUCCCCAUCUACCUCAUUAAGAAUCAAGUUUCCAGACACACAUAAUUUGUUUCUGGGCUCUUUCUUCUGUCCUAUUCAUUGAUCACCACCCUAAUUACUACAGCUUUAUGAUAAGCCUUGUUAUCUGGUGGAUGAAAAUCCCCCCAGCUUCUUCUUAUUCUUUAAGAGGAUCUUGGCCCCUUGUUAUACUAUAUAAGAAUUACCUUGUCAAGUUCCAACUCUGUUGUAAAUCUAAUUGGAAUUAUAUUGAAUCAAAAGUCUUGUUUGGGGAAUUUACAUCUUUAUAAUACAGGGUAUUUUGUCCAAGAACAUCAUCUAUCCACUUAUUUAGGUCUUAAUGUAUUUCAAUAAAAUUUUAUAAUUUUCUCCAUAAAAAGCUUUCAUAGCUUAUUUUAUAUUUACUCCUAGAUACUUUCAUAUUUUGUUCCUAAUGUGAAUGGUUUAUUUUAAAUUAAAUUUUCCAACUGACUGCUAUUGGUGUAUAAAAAUUGAAUUGAUUUUUGUAUAUUGAUUUCAUAUCCAGCAACCUUGCUAAUGUCUCAUUUUUUCUUCUAGUAAUUUAUCUAUAGUUUCUUUCGGGUUUUAUACGUAGUCAAUCAUAGAUCUGCAAAUAAUAACUUGUGUUUCUUUCCCUCUAAUCUUUAUAUUUCAUAUUUUUAGGCAUAUAUCUUGGCAUAACCAUUAUUUCCAUUUUUAUAAAUGAGGAAACUGAACCUCAGAGAUGUUAAGUAAUUUGCCCAAGGUCUCAUAGUUAGAAACAAACAAAGCCAAGACUCAAAUCCCAUUCCAAAAUCCAUGUUUUUAUUCCCUGUACUAUGGAUUGCUUUUCCUUUCUCCACUUCAAAAAUACAUUUGAGGUUUGUAAUAGAAAAUCUUGGUACAUAAAAACAAUGAUCCGCCAGUAAGGGAAAUGAUUUUUAUUUGUUUCUUUUAAAGGAAAAGAAAAUUAUUUCGACUUGAUCAAUACAUCAGCAUCAUCUCAGAGCCAGAAAAAAACAGUAAAGGGGGAAAAUAACUGACACAUUGGCCAGGCACAGUGACUCAUGCCUGUAAUCCCAGCACUUUGGGAGGCCGAGGCUGGGGAAUCACUUGAGGCCAGGGGUUUGAGACAAGCCUGGCCAACAUGGUGAAACCCCGUCUCUAUUAAAAUACAAAAAUUAGCUGGGUGUGGUGGUGCGUGCCUGUAGCCCCAGCUACUCAGGAGGCUGAGGCAGGAGAAUCACUUGAACCCGGGAGGCAGAGGUUGCAGUGAGCCAAGAUUGCACCACUGCACUCUGGCCUGGGCAACAGUACAAGACACUGCCUCAAGAAAAAAGCGAAAAAAAAAAAAAGAACCAACACAUUGUUUUGUACGUGUUUGCUCAUUCCAUCCAAACAGCAACCAGCAAGUUAGGUAUUAGCGUCUUGACUUGGCAGCUGAGGAAACUGAGGCUGAGAUGAAUAUAAAAAAGUAACAACCAGAAAAAAGGAAGUUUCAGUGUCAAGCAGAUAGCACGAUGUGUAUAACGCAUCAAAACAAAGUACCUGAAAUAGCCUCCAAGUAUAAGUUGCAAAUCAGUUUUACAGCCUCAGGUGAAUACUGAAAGCUGAAGCCUUGGAAAGGCUCCUUGUGUGCUCUCUUGCAGUCCAUGGAGGUAAAGACCCCCCUGUGGGGGUUGGGAAGGAGAAUAACUGGGAAGUGAUUUGUUCUUCUGCAUUCAUUCAUUCAUUUAAUAAAUACAGUAUUUAUGAUGGACCACCUAUCUGAGUUCUGGCGUUAAUGUUAGGAAUAUAGCUGGGAACAAGCCAGGCACAGUCCCUGCCCUCAUGGAGUUUUCCAUCCAGCAGAAGACUCAGGCAUGAAACCAGUAUUCACUGGUUAGCAUCCAUGGUACCCAAGCCCAGCCCCCACCAUCAGGCAAACAGAAAUCCCAUGUGUGACUCAAGCAGGUCGCAAUGUGCUCCAGAGCAUCCCCAGGUCCCAUCUGGAAGCUGCCGCAGCUCUGCAGCAGACUGGCGAACCCUCUCUCCCCCCUCCUGAGCUUCCAACAGCCCUCAUGUUGCUGGGAGCCUGUCCAUCAGAGUGCCAAUCGCAGGGGAAAUUGAAUCCAGGGGCUCUUUCUAGUCGUGUUUGCUCACUUUUUUUCUUAGCAUGAUCUUUGGUUUCAUUAUAUUUAGGUAUUUCUUUUAUUUAUCCAUGCACCAGGAAAGAAAAAAAAAAAAAAAGGAAGGGUGCCCCUUUAAACCAAACAUGAAAUGUAUUAGGAACCUAAAGUUGAGAAUAAUGGGCUUUUUUUCCCUCCUGGAAAGCUAGCCUACAGGAGGAAAAAAAAUCCAUUCAAAUAAUUUCGUUUAGUCCUAAGUAUAAAAUAACUGAAGUCAAGGUGUCUCUGCUGUUAUUAUUUUUUCUGAUGUUUUUGACACCCGCGUGUGGAGUUCUCCGGCGUUCACAGCUUCCAGAGCUGUGAGCUUCCACUUGGUAUAUUCGUAAUACUCCUUAAUAUUUUCAUUUUGAUGUAAUUUGCGGCCCCAGCUUUUUAAAUAUCCGCUCUGUAAUAAUGUUUAAUUUCAGGGGUCACUCCGCCAAGGAGUAUAUUAAAGCUUAUAAAACUCAUUUCCAAAGCUCAAAUAUCAAGCUGUGAUCAGGUUAGGAGGGCAGCAUCUGUGAAUAUUUCAUCUUUUAUCAUGCUGAUAAUAAGGAGAUGACAGAGGCACAUUAUUACAAUGAGAGAAUUGCUCAUUUCAGGCCUGGUGCUGGAAGCUGGGGUCUGCAGUGUGUAUUACUCAAUAAGAGCAAUUCUGAUAUGAAAAGCAAGUUUACUGAGGCACCACUGUGUCUUAUUUGAUUGGAAUGAAUAAUAUAUGGAGCUGCUGUUCGUGCGGCUGCUGGCCGGGGGAGGGGAGGCUUGCAUGGAGAGGUGCACUUGGGGAUAGACGGCAAAAUAAUUUAUCAAAGGAUGUGUUUUAUGGCCUGAAAAUAAAGUUAAGAUAACCACUGUUUAUUAGAAUCAUUAUUUCGGAAAUCUGUAUUCUGGAAAUCUUAAACAUGUGCCAGCUUACGCAUGAGAAGAAUCUUGAUCCACUCGACUGGCAGAGAUGCCUCGUAAUUAUCUAUUUGCACAUAGGGGCUGAGUGAAUUUGACACCCGGGCUGAUUCCUGCCACAUUCUCCGUCGGCGACUUUCAUUAUUGUUUUGCAUCAAGCCAACUUCAUCAAGCAGGAACCUUAAAACCCUGGUCCUUCUGGUAGUGAGAUGAUGAAACAUCAUCAAGCAUGAAAAUCAAGCAUGAACCACCUCUAAUUAUUGCCCCCCACCCUAUAGUGCCUCUGAAUCCACAUCCACCCUCUCCUCCUUCUCCCCAUCAUAGGGGAAGAGGGUCAUCUUUUCUAGGACUGUCCUCUUACUGCCAUGGAUAUCGUCCCUCCCUACCAGUUCUGACCCCAUGUGGUGCCAUUCUCCCCCUCUCCAGUGUCCUUGACAGCCCUCUUUCAGCUAGCUCCUUCCCCUCAGCCUAUGAACGUGAUCCAAUCACUUCCAUCCUAGUAAAAAAUUCCCUUCCUUACCCUUGCAUCUCCCUCCAGCUAUCACCCAAGUUAUUUUCCUAACUUCUCAUCCAAGUGUCUCAUAAGGACACACUUACAAAUACACUUACUGCCCCACCAACUCACGCUGUCACAUUCACCCCUCAGUUCAUUUCAUUUUGACUUCUGUACCCCCCAUUCCCAUGAGACCACCCCAGCAAAGUCAGGGGUGGCCCCCUAAUUACCAGAUCCACCGGGCACUUUUCAUUCCACACUUAGCUUGCCUUCUCAGCUGCAUUAGUCCCCAUUAUUUCAGAACAGCUCUCUGCUGUUUCUCCUUCUUCCCAAGUCCCUGUUCCUCCUCUGGUUCCUUUCCUGGAAACUCUUCCUGCCCUCUCUGAAGGUAGUGGUAUUUAACAGGACUUCCCCCUUACCCUCUCCUUACACAGCCAUCUAUGCUGGGCAGCAGCAUUCAUUUUUAUGAUUGAAACUACCACACUUUGACUUAUAGCUUAUUAAUGGUAAUUGAUUUGUAAUCUAGCAUCUCUCCUGGAGCUCCAAAUCCAUAUAUCCAACUGGGUACCUUGCUGGAAGUCCAAAUGCAACAGGUGGGGAAAAAAUUAUUUUAACUUUUACUUUAGGUUCAAGGGUACAUGUGCAGGUUUGUUAUGUAGGUAAACUCAUGUCAUGGGGGUUUGUUGUACAGAUAAUUUCAUCACCCGGUACUGAGCUUAGUACCCAAUAGUUAUUUUUUCUGCUCCUCUCCCUCCUCCUACCCUCCGCCUUCAGGUAGGCGCUAGUGUCUGUUACUCCCCUGUUUGUAUCUGUGUGUUCUCAUCAUUUAGCUCCCACUUAUAAGUCAAAACAUGCAAUAUUUGGUUUUCUGGAAAAUUUAACAACCAACACAAACAUACCCACACCCCCUGCUACUCCUCCUCCUCCUGAUUUCCUUAUUUUGAGUGAAGACAGAACUCUAAAAGCAGUCACCCAAGCUGAGAUACAGACCAGCAUCCUCAACACCUCCUUUUCCCUCAAGUCCUGCUUGUAAUCCAUCAUCAGGACCUAUUGAUUCUUUCCAUAUUUUUAGAAAACAAAUAGAUCUACUGUUAUUUCUGAUUAUAAAAGUAAUACUUGCUUAUUUAAAAAUGUUCAUGAUGGAUAUCUCAAUUACCCUGAUUUGAUCACUACACAUGUACACAUGUAUUGAAAAUAUGACAUGUAUCCCAAAAAUAUGUUAAAUUUUCAAACUACACAGAAAUCAACAGAGAAGAUAAAAAUCACCUGAACUCCCUCCAUCCACAAAUAACCAUUGUUAACAUUUUAUAUAAACACAUCUAACCUUUUUUUAAAAAAAUUGUACAGUUAGUCAUUAUUUACUGAAUGCCUACUCUGUGUCAAUUAUUGUGUUAGGCACAUAUAUACACACUUCCUUUAUUAUACAAAAAAAUGUGAUCUAGCUAGAUACACAAUAUCUUCCAUUUAACAAGGGACAUAUUUUCAUUUCAAUAUAGAUCCACAUACUCCAUUUAAAUAGUUACAUAGUAUUCCACUGAGUGGCUAUAGCAAAAUUUGUUUUCUUAAUCAGGUCCUUACAGAUGGGUAUUUAGGUUGUAUCCAGAAUUUGACUUUUUGUUGUUUUUGUUGAGACAGUCUCACUCAGUCACCCAGACUGGAGUGCAGUGGAUGAUCUUGGCUCACUGCAACCUCCGCCUCCUGGGUUCAAGCAAUUCUCGUGCCACAGCCUCCCACCUGGCUGGUAUUACAAGUGUAUACCACCAUGCCCGGCUAAUUUUUGUAUUUUUAGUAGAGACGGGGUUUCACCAUAUUGGCCAAGCUGGUCUCAAACUCCUGACCUCAAGUGAUCCGCCUGCCUUGGCCUCCCAAAAUGCUGGGAUAACAGGCGUGAGCCACCGUGCCUGGCCCCAAAAGUUGAUAUUAUCUAUAAUUUACAUCCUUAUAUAUAACGUUUUCUCACCUUUUCAAUUGUGCUUUAGAACAAAUUCCUGGAAAUGAAACUGUGGGCUGAAGAGUAUGCACAUUUUUAAGGCCUUUGAUAGCUAUUAACAAAUAUGGUCCAAUGAUGUCAAACCAAUUGCUCUGUCACCAAUAUGAAAAUUUUCUUACACCUUCCUUUACACUGAAUAUUAUCAACUUUGUUAAUCUUUGCCAAUCUGCUAAGUAAUAUUUGUUAUUGUUUAAUUUGUGUUUAUUUUAACACUGUUGAUGUUGAGCAUCUUUUCAUACUUUUGUUAGAUAUUUGUAUUUCUUUUUAAACUACUUGUUCAUGCCUUUUGCCCGUUUAUUUAAGAGAUUGUUCUAAUUUUUCCUAUUGAUGUAUGUGAACUCUUCAUAUAUUAUAAAUAAUCCUUUAUCUAUCAUAUAUGUUGCAUACAUUUUUUAUCAGUGGUAAUUAGUCUAUGUUUAUGACAUCUUUAGAAUAUCAAUUUACAAUUUUUAUGUAGUAUAAUCUAAUAACUUUUUUAUUUAUGGUUUCUGCUUUUGGGGUCACACUUGGAGAAGACUUCCAUACUACUAAGUUAUAAAAGGUAUAAAGAUAAUUUCCCAGAUAUUUUCUUUCAGUAAUCCUAAAGUUUUAAUUUUUACAUUUUAAAACUUUUCCUUCCAACAUUUCUAUUAGUGUAAAAUUUAUUAAUUUUAACAUACAGGAAAAUACCUAAAUCAAUACAAAUGUGGGAUUGUAACUGCAAAAAUCUAUAACCAAAAAAAGGAAUUCCCAGCAAACUAAGAAUGUAAGGAAAUGCUUCAAACUGAUAAAGGGCAUGUAUGAAAACAAACAAGCAAACAAAAAAACUACAGUUUAAUUAUACUGAAUGCUCUUCACCUCAGAUCAGGAAUAAAACAAGGAUGUCUACUCUUACCAUUUUUAUAUAACAUUGCAUGGGAGGUCCUGGCCAGUAAAAUAAGAAAAAAUAAAAAAGGAGCAGAAAUAAAAGGCAUAAAGAUUAGAAAGGAAGUUACAUGGGGUUUUUUUGCAAACAAUGAAAUUGCAGGAAAUUCUAAGGAAUCUGUCAAAAAAAUUAAUAGAACAAAUAAGAAAAUUUAGCAAAAUCACAGAAUAAAGAUCAAUAUAGAGAAACCCACUGUACUUCUGGAUCCUAACAACAAACAAUAGGAAAAUAAAAAAUGUUAAGUGAUAGGAUUUGCAACAGUAUCAAAUUAGAAAACAAAAUGCUCAGAAUACAUUUAAGGAAAGAUUGCAGUAUCUCUAACCUGAACACUACACAUAUUACUGGGAGAAAUUGAGCAUGAUCUAAAUAAAUGGAGAGUUACACCAUAUGCAUAGAUUAGAAGAUUCAGCAUUGUUAAAUGUCUGUUCUCCCCAAAUCAAUCUAUAAAUUCCAAUCAAAAUCCUAGAGAGGUUUUUUUUUUGUAUAAAUUGGUAAACUGACUUUAAAACUAAAUGAAAAUGCAAAGAAUACAGACUAGCUCAAGGAAAUCUGAAAAAAGAACAAAAUUGGAGGAUCUACACUACUUACAUAGUAGUAUCCCAUUAUCCACAGGGGUUACAUUCCAAGACCCGUAGUGGAAGCCUGGAACCAUGAAUAGUACCAAAACUUAUAUAUACUAUGAUUUUUUCUAUAUGUACACACAUGCCUGUGAUAAAGUCUAAUGUAUUAGACACAGUAAAAAAUUAACAAUAACUAGUAAUAAAAUGGAACAAUUAUAACAAUAUGCCAGAAUCACCGCUGGUGCUUUGGAGCCAUUGUUAAGUAAAAUAAGGGUUAAUUGAACACAAGCAUUGCAAUACCAACAGUCGAUCUGACAACCAGAUGGCUGGCUACUAAAUGAUGCAGGCAGCAUCUACAGCGUGGAUACACUGGACAAAGGGAUGAGUCAUGUCCAGGGCAGGAUAGAGCAGGACAGAGUGAGACAGAGCAAGAUUCCAUCAUGAUACUCAGAACAGCAGACAAUUUUAAAUUUAUGAAUUGCUUCUUUCUGGAAACUUCCAUUUAAUAUUUUUGAACUGCAGUUGGCUCUAGGUAACUGAAACCAUGGAAAAUGAAACUGCAGGUAAGGAAGAACUACUGUACUAUGAAGCUACAGUAUGAUGAUGUUACAGAAUUACACAGGCAUAAGGGUAAAAAUGUAGAUCAAUGGAAGAGACUAGAGAGUCCAGAAAGAGGCCAACAUAUACAUGGCCAAUUGAUUUUUAAUAACAUAGGCACCAGCAUAAUUCAAUGGGGAAGGGGUAAUGAUUUUUUAAAAAUAGGGCUAGAACAACUGGAUUGUCAUAUGAAAGAAAAGUAAACUCAAUCCCCGUCUCACACCAUACACAAAUAUUGAUUUGAAAUCAGUCAUAGACAUAAACAUAAAACCUAAAACUAUAAAAUUUCUAGAAGAAAUAAUAGAAAAAAGAACCCUUUGUAGUUUGGGGUUAGACAAGAAUUUCUUUGAUAGACAAAAGUAUUAGUCAUAAAAGAAAAAAUUAAUAAACUAGACUUCAUCAAAAUAAAACACUUCUGCUCUCUAAAAGACAUAAUCAAAAAGUGAAAAGGCAAGUCACAAAUUGGGAGAAAAUAUGUGCAUCACAUAUAUCUGUCAAGAAGCAUGCAUAAAAAAGCCAGAAUACAAAAAGAACUCUUAUUACUCAAUAAGAAAAAGACAAAACACUCAAUUUUUUAAAUGGGCAAAAUUUGAAUGGUGCUUUAUGAAAGAAGCUAUACAAAAAGGUCAAUAAACUCAAGAAAAAAAAUGUUCAACAACAUGAGUCACCAGAGCAAAUUAAAACUGCAGUGAGAUUCCACUUCACACCCACUGAAUGGUUAAAGUUUGAAGACAAUUCCAAGAUCAGAUGAUGAAGAUAUGGAGGAACUGGACUUCUCAUACACCAUUGAGAAUA
rnacentral:lncRNA from 1 species